rnacentral:lncRNA from 1 species
AUUUUGCUACUAAUAGUAGCCCACUCCAAAAAAAUAAAAAAAAAUUCAAUUGGAAGGAUGUAUAUACAUAAAAAAAAAAGAGUUAGUUGAAUACAACUCUUAGUAAACAUAUCGAAUUACAAAUAUAUUUUUAUAAAGUUUAAUUUUUUUAUAUUAUUUUUAUAAAAGUCUAGUAAUUUUCAAAUUUGUCCCUCUAGUUUAUUAUCGUUAGAGAACUGUUAAUUUUUUAACAUCAGAUAAGUGAAAUAUCAAUUUUGUCAUCACAAAUAUGUUCCUUCAAAAGCCUCAACUGCUAUAAUCGUGUAGAAAUGUCCCUCCAAAAAAUUUUCAAAAAUUUAUGUAGCUAAAUUCGCUUGCUUAAUGAAUGAAGCAGGUGGCAUACUACCUUUUUCUCAAAAAAAUAAAAAAUUCAAUGGUCAUCUUUUUCCUUUUUAAAACCUAACACAGUUCACCAUUAUUACAAUAUUUUUUCUCACUACUUUUCUCUUAAUCGUUUUCUUUUGAGCAAAAUAAGAAAAAAUCAUAAAAAAAAUAAAUGGAGAAGCAACAAACAUUCAACAUAGGCAAAGCAACACGCGUCGUGAACGAAAAGGGACAGAGAAAUUCUAAGUACAAACGAAAAAGGACAGAGAAAUUCUAAGUACAAAUUAAAAACUAGCAUAAAGAAGAGAGAGAAGAGGAAGAGGAAGCGAAAGUAGAAAAAGAGUUCUCAUUGCUAGAAUUUUUGUUAAGAGAAGAGAACAUGAUAUAAAACGGGUGAAAAAAUCAAUUUACCUAUGGUUAACUAAAUUUUUUUAAUAGAUCCUAACGGUAGAGGCAUAUCUAAAAAAUAUUAAGACUUUUACAGAAAUAAUAUAAAAAAGUUGAACUUUACAGUGAUAUAUUUAUAAUUCGUUAUGUUUAUAGGGUUGUAUAAAUAAUUGCUAUCUAUGAAAAAAUGUCCUUGCAACCGGCUGUCCCUAGCGCAAGUGGCGGAAGGCUUAAUGGUUGGUAUCCGAGGUUUCAAUUUCGAAUCCCAGUUGAUUCACAUUUCUAGCUAAAUUUAUUUCUAAAUAAAAUAAACGAAGCGGAUAGCAUAUUAUCUAUCUCUCCAAAAAAAAAAAAAAAUCCUUGCAAAUUAAGAUGUUUUGUCCUUUGUGAAUAAUUGACAGGAUUCUCUGGUUAAUGCACAAAGAGCUCGGUGCGUGCCGCCAAACUUUAAUCAAAACAUGUUGAAAAAGUAGCGUGUUGCGAUCGUUGCCGACGAAGGAAAAGGAAUGCACGAGACUACGAAUUGAAAAACAACAAAUUUCAGUCGCCUUUUCGUGCAGAUCAGUAGGGCCGAUAUAUACAUCUACAGGAUAUAUAGGUACAAAUUUUACAUCAAUGAAGUUCCUGUGGCCUAUAUGUACUUGGAAAAAAAGCUACUUAUACAUUCCAAUUGGAGUGCAUAUAUAAGUUACAUUCUAUCCAUCUAAUGAAUGAGGAUCACUCACUAAUCAUUUGAUAUGACUAAUAAAAUUACUCCAUCAAUUAGAGAGGUGGGGUGUAAGAUGCACGCUUCAAUUGUGAUGUAUGAAUAGUAUUAUUUUAUUAUUCGACUUGUUAAUUAAGAUUUAUUAUUAUUAUUACUAUUAUUAAAAUUCAAAUAAAAAUAUCAAUUCUUGAAUCUUUUAGUAUUGGAUUUAUAUUCCUAGUAGUGGUGUUCAAAUAGCUAGCAUUUUCUUUUUGCUCGAGCAAUACUAUCUGAACCCCAUAAAAAAAUAAUAUUACUAGUGCAUCAUAAAAUAGAGUGUAAAUAUUACACCUCUUAUACAGUGGCUCAUCUUGAAUUCAUGUCUACGGAACUCUAGGAUGAGAGAUUAAAAAUCUUACACUUUUUUUUAGUGUGCCAACAAAUUUUUUUUCUGUGAAAAAUGCAAAUUUUUUUCUAUUUUGAAAAGUUUUAAGUCGUAUUAAUAUUUUUAAAACAACUAUAUUUACAUCUAUAAUGACUUUAAACAAUAUUUUGCAUUUUAUUCUUAAAAAUAACUUAGAUUAAUGAAUAUUUUUCUCCAAUUUAUGAGAAAAUUUUGGAGACUCUGAGCUGCAGGAAGAAAGCGCCAGCUCUUUGAUGCUCCUCGUGGGUAGGGGUGGCGGUGGCGGUGUAUAUCAUACAUCCAAAAUGGAUGUAGGGAUAGCAUUGCUCAUACUUUAAACCUUCGUUUGGUUGGGGGUUAAGAGUGGAAUAAUUCCUUAACCCCCAUAUUAUCUCCAAACAUUUUUAAAAAUGGGUGGGGUUAGCUAACCCCACCUAAUCCUGGAUAGCCUAUUUUGGGUCGGGUUAGCUAAUCCUACCAAACCCUAACCAAACACUAUUUUUUAUUGAUAAUAACCCACCAUGGCCUUCUUAUCCCAUCUACUCCAAUCAAACAUUAUUUUUCACUUUUCUAGACUAACUCCAACCCCCAACCAAACACAAAAAUACUCUAACCCCAUCUUAACCCUGAACUUAGCCCUAUUCCUGGAAUAACUAGUUUUUCUUAACCCCGAACCAAAUGGUAAGUUUAUCGAUUAAUUUUCAUUAUAAUAAUUUAGUUAUUUUCAAGCAAGUAAUUUAUAACUAAAGUUUAAUAGAAGUUUUAAAAACAAAAUUCUUAAUGCGAUUAGCUAAAAUAAUUUAAAUAAAAAUUAAGAAGUUAAAAAAUAUAUAUUAAUGAAAAAAGUUUAUUUUUCAUACUUUUACGUACUAAAAAAGUUGUAAUCAAUUAUUAUUAUUUUCAUAUAGAAUAACAAUUAAAAUCCUUUUUUUUUUUUUUCUCGCAUAAUUCAUCACCAUCAUUAUUUUUCUCACAGAUCGACCUGAAUUUCCAUGGGAUCCGUCCCAAAUAGGACUUAGAUGGGGAGGGUUCUGUUCCCGCAGGAAUGGUUGAAAGCAUGGAAGGUGAUCCCGUAAAUGAGAUAACUGUGUUAUGGCGCUUAAUUCCUAUACGUACAAAGUAAUAAUUGUUCAAUAACUACAUGGAAACAAACUGAUGAACAUAAGAAGAUAGACCCACAGCACCAAGUAAUAAGGAUCUGUUUGCUUUCUUGAAAAAUAGCAAAAAAUUAUUUUUCAAAAAAAAAAUUUUGUGGAAAUUAUUUUUUUAGUUUCUAUUGUUUGGUUCGACAGAAAAGAAAAUUAGUUUUUCAUAUAUACAUGUCUGGAUGGGAAGAAAAAAAAAUAAAAAAUACUUUUAUAUUUGAUCUAUUUUAUUUGUUUGGUUAGUUAAAAAUUUUGGUAUAUAAACACCUUCUACGUAAGGAGAGUGAGAUGGCCAAUCUUUUAAAAUUCUCAUAGAUUGUUUAUAAUAUAAAUAAUAAAUAAUAAAUAAAAAUAAUUUAAAGCAUAUUUUGAUAUAGAUAAAAUAGUUUUACAAAGUAGAUAGAGAUGAUUGACAUGACGAAUAGGAGAUAAAGAUAAUUCGCAUAAGUUAUUUUCGAUGACCAAGUUUUUGAAUCGACGAUUAACACCAUUAAAUAUGAUUUGGAGUAUUUGAAAUUUGAUUUCUAAAAGUUCUAUUUUCUGAAAACUAAUCUGAUUGAGUACUGGAACUUUCUUAACCUGUCGCUUGACCUUGAAGACGUCCAUAAAUUGAGGGUCACUUCUUGAGCUGAUCAAGCUGUAAUCUACCGAAAUUUUGAUCUGAUCAACAUUUGACUCGAUCAACCAAUCCGAAGAAUUAUUCGGCUUGUGAAACGUAUGAUUACUAUAUAUUUAAAAUUUAAAAUCUGACGCAUAUUCGUAUUCUAAUUUGCAUCAAAUAAAAAAUAUAAAUGCGAAUAUAAUUUCACCAAAUACCAAAUGGCAUUCCAUCCUUUGCACGCCUAAUUAAAACCCUACUUUAUUUGCCAGUAUUUUCGGACAAAAAUUUGGUGGGCAUCUGUUCCCAAACAACUUGUUUAGGGACGGAGCCGAUGGGCGACGACGCUCUUUCCACCACAGGCUUCUUUCUAUCUCUAUCUCUCUCUAAAAAAUCGGAGCCCAUAUAUUUUUUUAUCUGUUUCCAAGGGUCGCUAUGGGGGCGGAUGCCCACCAAAUCUUUGUCCGGCGUCUUUUAUCACUCCUAUGGCACUGAUGGUUGUACAGCACUCCCACUUGUUUUCUUCCCCGCGUGCCCUUUGUGCAAAAAUCAUAGAGCAAUAAUUUCCAUCCUACGAUCGUGUGAUUCCGCCCUACACUAAUUAUCUCUUUGAAAAUGAAAAGAGAACGUAGAGAAACCAUUGAAAGAGCGUUCAUAUUUUAUCUUUUUUUUUUUUGUAUUUUCAUCAACAAAUAGACGGCGGGGCCGGGAGUAAAUGGAAGAAUGGUGGUACGAAAUUGAAUGUUCGAUCUCUCGUGCGCCGUGCCAGUCCAUGCACCGCCAAAUAUCUCACUCUCCGUCCUGCGUCGUCUCCCCCAAAAUGAAAGGUGAAAAUUCGUUGGUAGGUUAGGAAACCAUUGAAUAGAGCGUUCAAUAAUUUUUUUCUUUUUUUCCUUUCCUUUUCAUGUUCAUUAAAAAGUAGAGGACGGGGAGAAGCAAUUAAUGGAACAAUGGUGGUCCAAAAUUCAAUGUUCUCUCAUACACCGCUCCAGUCCAUGCACGGCCAAAAUAACUCGCUCUCCGUUCCAUUCAUCUCGGUCCUCCUCAUGAUUUAGAUAAAACGGCCGAAGCAACAGUUUCUCAUGAACUUAUCCCUUUUGAUCAAAUGGUGGAGGUUCCUGUCUGAAAGGAAUCACAUGUGGGGUGCAGUAUUGAACGGAAUAUACUAUCUAUGGAGAAAAUCGCUUGCGGAAGGGGUGUCGUUUUAAGCCUCUUUCUUUCUGGUGGAGGAGGAGUGUUCUUACGACUAGAGAAAUCUUUAAAUAUAGCGUUUCUUACUCAAUUGGGGAUAGACAAAUUGUAAAUUUCUGGACUGAUAUCGAGCGCGAACAAGCCCCUCUGCGCACUUUAUAUCCAUCUAUAUAUCUUCAAUAAAAUCACAUCCAAAAACUACAAAGUGAAGGAAUGUUGGGGAAGGAACGGUUGGAAGUGGCACAAGAUUCUGUCUGGAUACACUCCUACGUCUCAGCCUGAAAUUGAUCAACUUUUGACUCUAAAGGAGUCAAUAUCCGAGAUCUCUUUGAGUAAUACACAGGAUGAAGUUAGAUGGAGAUAGGUAUGUUCUGAAAAGUUCUCGGUCAAAUCGGAUACAAAUUUCUUCUAGACGGUAGAGCAAGAGUUGAGAACUAUGCAUACUUGUGGAAGAUCAAAUACACUCUUAAAGUCAAGAUUUUCGUAUGGUUAGUGUUGUGAAAAAAGGUACUCACUGCUGACAACCUACUUAAAAAGGGUUAGAGUGGAGAGGAAUACUGUGUUUUAUGCCUGGAUGAGACGGAGACCGUGGACCAUCUUUUCUCCGGCUACCCUUUUACUUCUGCUGUGCUUAAAGGGAUGCUACCAAACAAACUACUUUUUAAUAUUUAUUCAUCCCUUCUAGAGAUUUGGGAAGCGAGUAAACUUAAAAGGGGUGAACACUGGGGAAAGAGCUGACGACCAUCGCUGCUGUGUGGUGGGCUAUUUGGUUGGAGCGCAAUAGAAGGAUCUUUUAAAAAACUAAACGUGCGCUGUGUGCAGCCUUGACGGAUACACGUAUCAUGAGGGAUUGCUGGGACCGUUGCUGUAUUUAAUCUUCUUUUUUUUUUUUCCAUUGUGAGGCCCAAGUUGCCUCAAUUUAUAGCCAAAUUCAUCAUAUAAAUGAAUGAAGUGGUAACAUGCUAUCUUUUCUCAAAAAAAACAAAAAGAUUACUAGAAAAGAGGAAAAAUAAAUAUAUAAAAAAAAAGAAAGAAGAACACACCCACUUAUUGAUAAGUGUAGUGCUGAUCGUACUCAUAAUACCAAGAGCGCUACGUAUUCGAUCAGUAGUCUCUCUACCUUCUCAAUUAUGUGAUUGCAACCGCGUGUUGGAUCGCCACUUCUAACCGAACGUUGACAACUAUAUGUGCAUAGCACAGUAAUGGGAGAUGAUUGGAGUGAUAUCUCUCCACCUCCUUCUAUCGGUCUCGCAAUUUCCCAAGCAGUACCUAUCAUAUGCAUGUGUGGACAGGUGCAAACACGAGUGAGCUGGUCCUUGCUCGAAUUCUGCUGUGAAUUGUUCGAUUACGACCCGGCUCAUUUAUGAUUUGAAAUUACUUUUCCUCUUUAUAUUUUCUAAUUAACUACAUAUACACAUGUAUUAUAUGCACAUUCGACUAUUUCAAACGGAACACGAAGGAGCAUAGACUUGCUCGUGCUCGGAAUGAAACUAUUUCGAGUGAAAAAAUUAGCUCGAUUUCAUGUUUGAAAUUAAUUUCAAAUUAGCUUAUUUCGAACUGAAUAUGAGUUGGCUCACGAACGGCGAGCUAGACUUGCGGUCCUCCGCUUGUGCACCAUGUCCACUUUUAUGUGAAUCGAGCAAACGAGCUAGUCCCUUUUACAGUACUCGCGCGCUUUUCAUGCGAAGUAAAUAGGUAAGUAAAUUAGCUAAGGUCGCUCCAUUUUCUUAUCCAUCCUUUGGAGCAAUGCUAACGUUUAAUUUGCACGGAAACAGUGGAGAAAUCGACCUGACAUUCAAUUUGUAAACAAAGUAAAUGUCCGCCGUAAUUUCAGUGACCAACCUCAUUAGUUACGCAUCAGAAUUUAAAUUCAAUGUAGAUUCUUAGUCCGUAGAUUAAUUUGUACGUAGUAUUUUACCUCGGAUCUUGAGGAGCUUAAUUUGCAGCAUUUUAUUAUAACCUAGUCUAUGGAGUUAGUCUUUGCCUUCUUAGUUAGUUGCAUUCAAGUGACAUCGCUCUAAACAACGAGAAUAUACUUGCCUUAAUCAGCGAAGAAUGCAACAAUUUUUUUCUCUUGUAUGGGCAAAAAAAAAAAAAAAAAAAAAAAAAAAAAACAGUUAUUCACAGAGCUCCUGCUAUUGAAAAGUGUUAUGUACGGAAUGAUUUUGGGUGAUGGGAGGUGAGUUUGUGAAGGAAAAGGAGAGGUAGAGAAUCAGAGAGAGAUAGGGAGUGAGAUUGGAGGAAGAGAGUAGGUUUAAAAGAAUUAGAGGAGGGUUUUGGGAGGAGAAGAGAAGGAGGUGGAGAAGAAGAGGAUAAUUGGGAAGAGACAAGCUAAUUCAUUUCAUUCAUGUCCUGUAAUGCUUAACAUUCUCUACCUAUACUACUUUUUGGUUCUAUACUGAAAUGAAAAUUACAUAUUUCUGAGGUUAACAACAAAGUGACAAAAUAAGAUGCUGUCGGGUUGGCUGCCAUUCGGGUACUUGGCCCCUUCUGGGCUUUCCGGUUCAUAGCUGCUUGUAACGGGCAAUCGGGCGUCGGGCUCGACCUAUCCGCAUCAUCCGUACCGGCGGGCCUUGGGUUCGCUAAUUGCAAGCCGAUCCGAGGUCGGCCCGCCCGAUCCGCCUAUAAACGGGCAAUUGGGCGUCGGACUCCUUCUUCUCCGGUCAUCCCGACCUGCGGUACUGGUUCGGUUUUGCCUCCGUCCGAGAUCCUGAAGCUUCGAUCCGCCAGUCCUUCUUCGCCCCAACUCCAUGGACUCCCUCGGACAUCCCAGCGCCCUCUCCGAGCUUUUGAGGAUGCCCUAGCUCCGUCGUCCCCAACCAGAGCUCCGCCCAGAGCCACCUCUCGCCUGACUGUUCCGUCAAGCUCGCCUGAGCCCUUCGAAGACGCUUCUCGUCGGCCCGCCUGCCGCACCUCCUCCUCUCCACCUGCUGCUGCCACUUAUUCUUCUUCUAGCUAGUAAAGCUGCUACCUUUACUUCUCUUCUACAUCUAACUACUAAUACUACUACUACUUCUACCAUUUAUUCUUCAGGGUUGUUACAAAAAGGUACGCAAAGUUGCUUGGAUUUGCAUUUCGACAGAUAUCAGAUAUAGAUCUGCAAAUAAACUGAUGACUGUUUAUUGAAUUGAUGAUGUUUGGUCAUUCUUUUUCUGCAAAUAAACCGAUAACAAUUUGCACCAUUUUUUUAUCACCUGCGACUACGUCAUUUUGAAAUUGAUUAAUGAUGCCCUCAACUUUUUUUUUUUUUUUUGAUCGAGACUCUCUAAACUUUUUCUUGCUUUCUUUUUUUUGUUAUUUGAGUUUGUAUAUUUGAUUAAAAGUCGAAAGUUUUAUCAAAUUUAGUGGCCAUAUUAUUUAUCAACCAUUAAUUGAUAUAAUUUUAUUUACUAAAAUUGGAUUAAAGCUAUUAAAUUUAAUAAAAUCGGCAAUAAAUUUGAUAAAUCUUCAAUUUAUUGAGCUAAAAUUACUUAAUUUAACAAUUGAAGUAGUCUUAAUAAAAAAGGGUAAAUAGCACAAUUGGUCCCUGGCGUUUGUAUUUUGUUUUAAUCAGGUUCCAACUAUUUAAAUUCUCCUAAUGGAGCGGGUCAUGUCGACUUCGUAAAGUUUUGUGUGCUGAUAUUGAUCAUGGUCAUCCUUCAUGUGUUUGAUAAAAGUGGUUAUAGGCGCGAAAGAUGAUAUUGAGAGUGGUAAGAUUGGACUUGACGCAAUGGACGAAGAGAUUAGGAACCAAAAUGAAAAAUAGAUAAAGAUUAGGAAUUUGUGGUGCAAUUAAUUAAGAUAAAUUCGCAUUAGUUACACUCGAUCAUGCAUGCAUCUUACUUAUUUUCUAAAGAAAAUCACGGUACCAGCGAGCAGAGCUUUUUGGGUGGCUAUUCAACGUCCCAUUUAUCUUCUUUUUUUUUUUAUACAUUUAGCCUCCUGAAAAUUUUUUUCAAAUAAAUAGUCAUAACAAAUUUAUAUUUGUAAUAACAAUUCUCUUCUUAUCACGCGAACACCUAAAUAACAUUUUUAAAUCAAUUACCGUGUUUUUUUUUUGUAUUUUUUUAUCACCCCUAAUUUAAAAAAGAGAGAAUAAAAUAUGAAUAUAAAUACCGUGAUUCAAUUUAAAUAUAAUGAUUUAAUCAUUGUGUUCAACUUAAAAAUGUUAAUGCCAUAUAUAUAAAUAUAAACUUAUUAAAAUUAUUUAUAAAAAAAAAAUUGAGAGGACUAAAUACAAAGAAGGCCUCUUUAGUUUCUCCGGCGACAUGCCUGUACAUAGGGAUGUCAAUGGGUAUGAAUAUCCGAAAUUUUAUCCGAACCCGAAUGAAACGGAUAUAUCCGAUAUGGAUAUGAAUUCGGAUAUGGAUAUCAAAUAUAGAAACUCGACGGAUAUAGAUUCGGAUAUGGAUUUUGAUUGUACCCGACCCGAACCCAAACCUGACCCGAAUCCGACCCGAACCUGAAUUUAUUUUGUAUUAUAUAUAUAUAUAGAGAGAGAGAGAGCGCUAGGUUCCUAUACUUUCGAAAGUACGGAAGCCUCCGUACUUGUAAGUUGUUUUCAAUAAUGGAACAUCCGAUUCGGCGAUCGGUUCCGUUAGACAUGAUCUACUCUAUUAAAACUACUUAGAAACCAAAUUUCAUAAUUUUUUGACUUCGUUUGUGUAGUAAACGAGUAGCCUCAAAAUGAACGGCUGAAAAUGAAAAUCUCAUAAAAAACAGUGAUAAAGGACUCAAAUUUCAAAUUGAAAGUAUUGGCUUUGCUAUUGAUGUUAAGUAGAAUUUUCUAUUAAAUUUUCAUCUAAUUUGAAUACUUCUACACCAUUGAACUUAAAAACGUGUCACAUCGGCCGUUAAAAUAGUUAUUUUUGAGACAUUUUGAUCGCUUGGUAAAUAAUGUCAAAAAAUUAUAAAAUUUAGUUUCUAAAUAGUUCCAAUAGAAUAGAUUAUACUUAACGGAACCGAUCGUCAAAUCGGAUUUUCUAUCAUCGAAAACAACUUACAAACACGGAGGUCUCCGUACUUUCGAAAGUACAGGAGACUUACUAUAUAUAUAUAUAUAUUAUAUAACUAAAUAUAUAUAUUUAAUGCUAUAUUUGAAUUUGUAUUUUCAAAAUUUUAAUUUAAUAUAAUAUAUUUUGAAAUAUUGAAAAAAAAAAUUGUUUUGGAUUCAAAUUUUGGGGUUGGGGUUCGGGUUUCGGAUUUUUGGUCGGAUUCGGGUUUGGAUAUGGAUUUUUAAAAUCCGUCGUGUUCGGGUUCGGGUUCGAAUUUUUAAAAAUCCGUUUCGAAUCCGACCCGUUGACAUCCCUACCUCUACGUCUCCGCAUUGAAAUCCCAGUUAAAUCGCAACUCUCAACGUCCAAAUUGAAGUCCAUGAGCAAACACAGCAGCCAAUAUGCUCUUGCUUACAAGGAUUUACUUAUAGAGCUCAGCUCAAACAGUUGAACCUGUUAACAGAUAAACGACAUAAAACACAUCCAUUAAUGGCAACCUCAAUUUCCAAAAAGAAUGAUUGCAUAAUUUUUUUGUUAGAAGAAAUACAUGAACAAAUGUAGCUAAGCUAUAAGAGCAUCCAAUAAUUUGGCAGUUUCUUCAGGCGAAAUUACUCCAUAAUAUUAACAAAAUAAACACCUACUUUCUGAAAUUAAAGAGAUAAGCUACUUGUAGAGGAUAUGUACAACCUCUGGGCAGCGAACAUAAUCAAAAGCUUGAUGUUGUCUACCAAGUUAAAAUAGAGAACAAUAUUGCAAAGAUAAGUGAAAGACUUGCAGUAUAAGCCUGUCAAAAGAAUAACAUAAACAACUCAUACAGCAUAUCGUCGUAUCAUGACAUGGAAUGUUUUGACAUGCCAAUAAGACAGCGAAUUUUCUGGUUAAACAAAUAAUUGAGAUUUCCCGGCUGAUACUUAAGUAAUUUAUGCCAGCUAAGUAAGAAAUAUAUAUAGGAUAUGCAGUUAGAUUAGUGACAAUUAAGAAGCAUGAGUCAGAGAGCUAAAAGCAAUCAACAUGUAAAUAAAGAGAUACUAUGAUCAGUAUGUUUCCAGAUAUAUCUGCCGUAAAAGCAUGAACACUAGCACAGCAAUUUACCGACCAUCUUAACAGAAACAUAGAUUUUCAAGAUAAAAGUGAAUAUUAGAUAGUUGAUCAAUAAUAACCAGAAAGACAGCUUAUGAGCCUCGCCGGCAAAACAAACUUCGUUUUAGACAAGAGGGAUCAGUGUUUUCUCACAGCUGCCAUUAUCAGUAGAAAGAGAAAUUAUUGAAGCUCCCCAGUCAAAAGAAAGAAGCAGGCGCACUGGAAAGCUAUAGUGAAACUAAAGAUAGAAACACACAUCAAUAAAAUAUCAAUGCUGCAACUUUCGACAUAAAAAAAAUAGCGCGAGCUUUCAACACGUUAAUCAUGUUGAAAGGUAUUGUGAUCUUCUUCUUUUUUUUCCUCACACCUGCUUCCUAGACAAAAGAUAGAAGCAUGCGUACCGGAAAUGUAUUGCAAAUAUACAGAUAAAAAUAUGCCAAUGUAAUAUCAAUGUUGUGACAUUCAACAUAAAAAAAAAAAAAGAGUGAGCUUUCAACAAGUUAAUCAUAUUUGUCCAUAAUUAUUUAACUUGUGGUAUAAUAAAUUGCUAAUUGGUUAAUAGAUUCAAAGGAGAAGAUCUAUGUUAAAAACAGAAUAUAAUAAAAUAAGGGUACAUAAUUAGCCCAAUGAUAAUGCUUUCUUGAAGUUUUCCCAAACUUCAGGACCCUCUGGAUGGUGAUUUACAAACUUCUUCAUAAACACCUUAUCAGAACAAGCAAGGACACUGCUCAGUGCUAAACACGGACUAGCUUUUCCCCUAUCUUUGAGCCAAUUGUACAUCAAGAACCUAAGUUUGACCCUCUCAACAGUGUACGACAUAUACGAGGGGAAGGCCACCAGUGAGCUUAACGGGUAUUCUAAGUUAUUUACAAGGAAGCUAAUUUUUCUCUCAAGGACAUCUAUCUUCUGGUUCAGAACCUGUGGAGCUAAUUUGAUCAUAUUAACCACAUCAUUCGGAUCCAAACCAGCUUCGACCAGAAAAUUAUAGCGGUGUUGAAGUUCAUCACCUUUACCGCGAAAAACCUUGAGUGCCUUCUUCAUAUCUUCUGAUUCCUCAGCAAACCCUAUUUUUAUCAAAAAUUUCUUCUUCUCUCUAAGUGAUCUUUCAUCUGCACCAGAGUUCGGGAGACGAUAUAGUUUCGUCCCCAAUGUAUAUUUCUUUAGCUGAUGCGGAUCCUCCUGUAUAAUUCUACACAAACGCUUUUUCCCGACAUUAAGAUAUGUGAAGAUGCUAUUCGGUUUCUUUAGCGAACAAGAACCAAAUAUUUCUGGAUGAGAAACCAAAAGCUUUUCAAUAUCCUCAGGACUCAUUUCAAUCUCAAUUAAGAAUAGCAGACCCUUUCGAAAGUUCUUCGUGAAAUUGCCGAUCGUAAUGUUUGGGAAGUUUGAAAAUAGAUCGAAUAAAUCCUUUUUUCCUCCUCCCAACUUAGAUAAAAGUGCAACCACUGAGAAAACCAUCUUUCCAGAACCAUCGAGCAAAAAGUCCGGAUGCCAUUUAAUCAAAUCUCCCAUUUCUUCUUUACUAAAUCCUAAUUCGAUGAAAAACUGUAAAAGAGCAUUCAUCCUACGCCAAUCAUAGAACUUUUUAUCGGACAAAACACUCCCGAUCCAAUCUCGCUGGAUUCCAAAAUCGUCUAGGCCCUCCAGAACUUUUACAAGUUCCCCAUUAACUUCACCGAUCAAAACAACUGGAGUUGCUGCCGCAACCUUGAUAACGCUACUCUUACUGAGUCCCAAUCCCUCAUAAGCCUGAAGCUUCAAUAACAAUACGCCCGAUUUAUACUUAAAAAUUUCGGUAGCAUCCCUAUAUAUUUUCCCUAUCUUGCUACGAGCAAUCCCAUAAUUGCAAAGAACACGGAAAUUCUCUAGCAACUGCUCAUCAUCAGAAAGGAACAUUAAAUCACGAGGCAGAAAUGAAUUGAACUCGCCGGGCUUAAGACCUAUGCUCUCGAAGAACGGCUCAAAUUCAUUAAUAGGGUGGUAGCGAAAGAACCGGGUCAAUGCCUUGCCUAUUUCUUCCUCCUUUUCGACCUUCUCCAGUAGCUUCUGGAGAAAAACAGGGGAGUGUUUACUCAUGUGCUCGGCAUCGGGGAAGUUUAAUCCUCGAGUGCAGUGAAGGUAGUCCAGAAGUGCUUCCUGAGCCUCCACCACCGAACGGCUGCUCCGUCUCGCUCCUUGCAACAGUUCCAAAAUUGCUUCUUGAUCUUCCUCAACAGCUCUAGGGCUUUGAGCUGUAGCUUCAUUACUAAAACCUCUACUCCUCGCAAAAGACGAGGUUUUCGCCGAAGAACGUGUGCUUGCAUGGGAGGAACAUGCUCUUUUAGAAGAAAAGGGAGACGCCCAUUUGGAAGCUGAUGACUCUAUCACACAUAGAUCUCGAAAAAAUCGGAAAGUUGAAAUCUUCCUACAGCAGAGAGCAUCGGCAGCAUAAAAAGCUAGGGCUUUUGACAAACCGCGAGUUUCCACUGAACCAAAUCGAGAAACCAAAGCUAGGGUUUUCCUCCAGUGGGUCAUAGUAACUUCGAAGAUAUUUGAGAAGAUGCAGGGAAAAUAAGAGCGAAAAUCCCAAAUUUCGAAGAGAACAGAGUUACCUCUUCAGCCCCAGCUUUUGGGUAAUCUCCCAAAUCGCUCAAUAAAGCCCCGACGAUUCGCCAUAAUGUGAAGAGAACUUCUUCUUCUUCUUCUUCUUCUUCUUCUUCAGGGCGAGGGGUUUGUUCGAUUCGACACACAGAAAGAAUGGAGAGUGGAGGGGUUAAAAUAGGGGUUUAGUAGAGACUACAGAACCAGUGUGUUAUUUAGGCCGAUGGUCUUGAACCGUCCGAUCUAAAUCAGACGGAUGAAACAUACCUUCUUCCUCAAGGGGCCCCGUUUUAAGAACCCUCUCCCUCGGAGUUCCACCUUCAAAACCUCCGUUCGGAACGACUAGGGUUUUGCCCACGCCCAAACGCAUCAGUGGAUCGUUCUUCGAUCGGGGGAGGAGGUAGAGAGAUCCCAAAUCGAGGUAAGGGCAUAAACCCUGCUCUAUUUAUGAUUUGAUCUGAAGAAAAGCUACACAUGGACGGUGAUUUUUGUUGAGGUUUCCGAGCCUUCCGCUCUGCUUGAAACCUGGGAAUAGUCAUGCUCUCUUUCACUAACCGAUUAGUUCGAAGUGCGAGUUCCUCCCAAAUGCUCACCGAAUUGAGUAGCUCGCUCAUUUCUACGAGAAUUUUUGGUUUUCGGAGGGACUCGUAUUGCCAUUUGCCACAAAAAAGGUUUCUUUGUAUCGAUUUGGUUCCCCCAGCCAUAUUUUCCGGAAGAUUGAGGAACUACUCAUCAUUAGGCUUUAGAACAGGAUGGUUUUCUCAUAGUAAUUUGUAUACCGAUGUUGCAAACCUCACUUUUGCUCGUAAAUUGCUCGAUCAUCAGCAUCAGCAGUACCGAUUCUUCUCCGGCACUCGAUCGGUGUAUUCUGAUUACUAUGCGGUAAUGGAUUCAAGACCAUCUCAGGAUGGCCCCUUGGCCUUACGGAUUUCUCGGGCCGGUAGAUCAGACGCGCAGAAUGCUCUUUUUGAGUACCUUCAUGGUACUCGAAGCUUACAUUUCACUGAUGCAGAGCACAUGAGCAAGAACUGCCCUGUCUUUCUUCAGAAUCUUCUUUCUCGGUUUGAAAACGAGCACGAUAAAGGCCGGUCUCUCACUAAGUUUCUUCGCUACAACCCCAUUAAUGAGUUCGAGCCAUUCUUCGAGAGCUUGGGCUUGAAACCCUCGGAAUUUUAUUCUCUCCUUCCGAGAAAUCUGAUGUAUCUUAGUGAUGAUGAUAUUCUGCUUGAGAAUUACCACGUGCUUUGUAAUUACGGGGUUCCUCGCAGUAAAAUUGGGAAGAUGUAUAAGGAGGGAACCAAAAUGUUUAGAUAUGGCUACGGCGUCUUGUCUUCGAAGCUUCAAGCUUUUGAGAAUCUUGGCCUAACCAAGCCCACCAUUAUCAAAUUGAUCACUUGUUGCCCUUCACUUUUAGUUGGGGAUAUAGAUGUGGAAUUUCUUCAGGUUCUCAACAAGUUGAAGAGUAUAGGGGUUGAGCUGGAUUGGAUCAGAGGAUGUUUCUCUGACAAAAGCAUGUACAGCUGGAAUAGAAUACUUGAGAUGCUGAAUUUCCUCGAUGGAAUGGGCUGUGACAAGAGGGAUUUGGCCAGUCUAAUUAAGAAAUACCCAAAAUUUAUUUUCGAUGAUUCAGGGAAAAAGAUAUAUAUUCUUGUCGCCAUGUUGUUAAAACUAGGGCUCAAGAUGAACGGCAUAUUAACUUUGUUCUUGCAGUAUCCUCGCAUUUUACUGGGAAAUUUCACAAAGAAUUUGUGGCAGUCUGUGCACUUCCUAGCUGAGAUAGGAAUGGAAGCAGAAGAUAUUGCAAAUAUGCUUUGUUCUCAUCCUCAAGUUUUGGGUUCUUGUUCCUGUAAAAGACCAGAUGUUGUAUUAAAAACCUUAAAUAUGCCUGCUAAAAAGUUGUGUGGCAUCAUCAAGAAGGAUCCAAGCCAGUUUAAUACUUUAGUCUCAAGAAAAAAGAGCAAUGUAGUGAACUUACCAAAGGUCGAUGGCAUAUUUCUUCAAGAGAAGACCGACUUCUUGUUACAGCUAGGGUUUGUCGAGAAUUCUGAUGAGAUGGCAAAAGCACUAUCCAAGUUCCGAGGCAGAGGGGACCAACUGCAGGAAAGAUUUGACUGUGUGGUGAAUGCCGGAUUAGACUACCACACGGUUUCUGAAAUGAUCAAAGCAGUACCUCCAAUACUUAACCAAUCUACCGACGUGAUCGAGAAGAAGAUUGACUAUCUAUUGAACGAGUUGGGUUAUUCUCUAGAAUCGCUCGCUGCUUUCCCGACAUUUUUGUGCUAUAAUAUGGAGAAAAUAAGCCGUAGGUUUUCAAUGUAUAAAUGGCUUACUGAGCAAGGGAUAGUGAUACCAACCAAGAAUAGAAAGAUGGUGCAGAACCGAGCAGCCUUGAGUACUAUUCUUGCAUGCUCAGAUGCACGAUUCGAGAAAUAUGUUGUUAAUCUUCAUCCUGAAGGACCCAAAAAAUGGAAAAGGUUAAAGAGGUCAAUAUCUUCGCAGUAAAAGAAAAUUCCUCUUCCCAAGAGAAAUGCACCAAUAUUCAAAAAGUCAGUGCUGCAAUAAAAAAACACUAGCUGUGGCCGCAUGAACUUCCUGCGAAUUUCUACAAGGAAGAGAGCUUUUGCUUCGUGGAUCUUACCCCAAAGCAAUGAGGGGCAUCAGAUGUGCUUCUAACUUUUGUUCGGUACGCAUAUUUUGAAGACAACUACGGUUCUUCUCAUGAUUUAUAAUGUAGGAAAUUUUUAAUGACGGCAAGGUAAGCAAGUGCCCAAAAUUUUUGUGUAGAUUUAAGCAGCCUUAUAUGGUAGAAGGUUCUUUUCAAAAAUCUUCUUAUCAUCUAUUUGUCUACUAGUGAUGCGUCAAAGCAGUUCCAGUAUAUCUAAUUAAUAUGUCGUAAGAAGUUGCAAAAGGUCAGUUCUUGUGCCCUCUUUUUUUUUCUUUUUUCUUUUUCCUUUGUUUUUUUUUUUUUUUUUGAAGAUUGCUAUGAUUUACCGUUCGUAAGUCUUUCUUAAAGAGGUGACUUGUUUUAACAUUCGAGAGUACUUGUAAAGUUCUCUGUUUCUACACUAAGUGCGUCAAAGAAAAAGUAACACAGAAAAAAAAGAAGGGGAUUCAGGAAGUUUCAUUUGUUUGCAUAUGAGAUUGUCAACUACUACUAGCAGUUGGUUGCCAGGGGAAUUGUAAUUAAACUGCAAUAUGUUAUGCCAAAUGAAUGCAUUUGUGUAACGAAACAGUCGUCAGUGUUUUAAUGUAUUUUUCUUUUUGUAUACAAUAGACAAAAUUCAUGUGUUAGCAUACAAUGGAAAUGCCUUCUUAUAUUUCAUUUUGUACGAAUCUAAAGAUACUAUAGAGUGCGAUUCAAUUGUAGGAAAGAUGUGCAUCUUAAAAGAUCGUAAAAAUUCUCUUUUACCUCAAGAAGUUUCUUUCAGGAGACUAGGCGUCUACUAAGUGCUAUUCAAAUUGAAUUAUUUGUCCCUUUUCUUUUAAUGAAAUCUAAGUAUGAAUAUAUUUUGAUUGAAAUCUAUCAACUAGCUUUUUACUGCCUCAGAAAUAAGAGUUUCCUCUUGCCUUUCUACGCUUGGGCCUAGAAACUCAUUUUUAAGUUUUGCCUGCAACAAAUCCCUUUUCUUAAUCCUUUCCAGAACAACGAAGUUGCUCCCUAAACAAUGAACGCAUGCGCUAAGGCUGAUAAUGAUUUACAUGUUCUUUCCCUCUCUGGUAGGUAUUAAUGCAGCUCUGAUCAAUGAGUUGGUAUAAUACUCUGAAAAAGGAGAAAAAGCGAUUAAGCUAUGUUACAACCCUGAUCCAAUCCAUAAUGAUCACUUCUAACUUAACAGAGCACAGCUUGAUAUUUCGGAGCAACAAUAUUUGCAAUUGCCAUGCAGAGAACCAUAACAAUAUGAUAAAAUGUAAUAGUGACCUGAAACCAUGGCAUACUCUCAAUUCUUCGUCUAAUUACAGUUCAAGUUCGCAUGCAAACUGCAUCUAGUAUCACUUUUUGAGUACAAUGGCAUUCCAAUUCCGGGGGUUUCAAACUUAUUCACGACCAGUUGCGCAUAGUCUGAGAUCAUAGAGAAGAGAAGAUGGGGACACCUGGCAGGGUGACACCAGAGUCGACGAUGAAGAUGUUGCCCGUCACAUAGUCUGAGGAAUCAUGGAUCAGAUAUCGGACAAGGGACGUCAACGCGGGAUCGGAUGUUCCAUAAGUUCGUAAGGGAACUGUCCUCUCGCAUACAGUUUUGAGCCAUUCCUUCUGCAUGAGAGCAGCAGUUAUCUCAGACAUGAAUAGCCCAGGUGCGAUGCAGUUCACUCUUAUGCUAUAUUCCCCCAAUUCCAAAGCCAUAACCUGCACAAAAAAUACAUAAAUUUGUUUAAUCUACAAAAUGAAAUACAAAAUUAAAUGACAGAUAGAUGUCAGCUUAUUGUAUUCAAUUGUACCUUCUGAUUAUUGCAACUUUAAAACUACAAGCAGAACAAUCUUUUACACAUUAUUGUAUAGGUGCGGAAAUCCUUACGUAUUACAUAUUUUCCAAGAUUCUUGUUGCUAACCAAUGUGGCAUUCAUAAUUUUAACAAUUUAUUUUAACAAUUUAUGAGGAGAGCCCGCUAAUUGGGAAGAAAGUAGUUCUGACGGGAAUAUUGUAAUAAUUACAGAUAAUUGCACGUUUGAUCAUCAAGACGAAGAAAGAAUUUGUACGUAAAACAUCACCUUAGUGAUGGUAUUAACACCCGCUUUCGAUGCAGCAUAAGCAAUCCCCCCCGGUAGAUGUCCACGGUUAAUAGCGCCAAUGGAUGAAAUGUUGAUUACCGAUCCCUUUAGCUUCGCAUCUCGCAUGUGCCUGCACACAUGCUUUGUUACCAGCCAUUGUCCAGUUAGGUUUGUCCUAAUGUUGGCAUUCCAAUCACCCUCAGACCAAUCUAAAGGGGAACGGACCCCACCUGGAGCACAAAGCCAUCAACCAAGCAACAUCAUGUUAGAUUUGCAUCUGAAAACACCCAAGGAGCAAGGCUUCAAAGAAUAGUUACUAGUACAACAAUAUAAGCACUCAAGUAAUCACAAGACAUGGAAUAAGAAAAAUAGCCCAUAUGGCAUAUGGUAAACAAAUUGAACUCACCGUACCAAAAUACAACAAGCAUAUCUAUCUACAACUAUUCAUUGCAUUUUCAAUAAUUAUCUUAUAAAUCUUAUUGGGAAGUAAGAUUACCAAACAAAGGCCUCAGUUUUUUCAUUAUUAGGCCACACAUGCUCUACCAGUCGCAGGACCAUCAACCAAUGUUCGGGAAAAAUUAAUAUCAUACCGGUCGCAAAAGGUUGGGCAAGUGUCUAUCCGUCUCUUUCACCCUUCCAAGGAAAAGUAAUUAAAAAAAGCAAAAGUGCAGCAACAAAGGUAUAAUACCAAAUAUUUUAUUUUAAUUGAUGAAAGGGAAUUAGUGAUGUGAAAGACAAUAAUAAAUGAUAGUAAAUGAGGACUUUAUUGUCUCAUACUUAUUCAGUGAAUCAAUAAGAACCGUACGGCCGACCGGCUUUAGCACAUAUAGUAAGAAUUUAAUGAUUGACAUUCAAAAUUUUAAAUUCCGUAUUUUAUUUUUUUUAAUUUAUUUUUUUAAAAAAUAAAAUACAUAGCACAAUACCUCUCUCUCUCUCUCUCUCCUUUAUUUCAAAAAAAAAGUACGGACGAAUUGCUUAAUGUCAAAAGCGUCCCGUCUCUAACCUCAUGAAAUUAGACCAAUUAAAAGAUUAAAAAGCAUGAACAGUUUAAAUUUAAAAAAAAUAAAUAAAUCUUGACCAGCCGAUUUAGAGGUUUCCUCGUAUUCUGUUAACAAAGACCACAUUCCGUUCAAUUUAUAGUUAAUUAAAAAAACAAAUAGAAAAGGAGUGUGAGAUCGCUCGGCGAUAAAAUAAUCUCUCACCGCGGAUCCCGGCGUUGUUCACCAACGCAUCGAUCCUUCCGAAGGCGCCCCACGCCCUCCCCACCGCGGCUUCUAUAGCCGAUUCCUCGGCGCUCACGUCAAGCUCCACGGCGACCGAUCGGACGGCGGAGCGAUCCCGGCCCGCCGCCGAGGGUGACGACGAAGACGAUCCCGAGCCGUUGAUCUCCUCGCAGAGGGCUCUCAACCGAUCGAUCCUCCGCGCCGCCGCCACGACGCGGCACCCGGCGCGCGCGAGGUCGAUGCAAAAAUCGCGGCCGAUCCCGGAGGAGGCGCCGGUGACCAUCACCACCUUAUCCUCCAACCUACUCCACGGCGGAGACGACGCCACCGCCGCCGCCAUCGAGAUCGGGCUUCACGGCGAUCGGACGGACGGUUCGGGAACCUUCCAGAGCCUUCGACCAAGAUCGAGGCGAGAGAGAUGGUUCCAAAUGGGGGCUACGAAGGAGGAGAGGAAAAAGGGCGGGAUUUAUAGAGACAGCUCGGACUCGGGCUCGACGAAGAUGAGAUGGACGUCUCUUAGCCAAUGAUAAUAACAAUAUAAUUAUUAUUAUUAUUAUAAUAAUUAAAAGAGAAAAAAACCGUAGGCGGAUCGCGUUAUCAAUGCUUGCUACAAAUCCAAAGAUAUAGACGUUAGUGCGGGCUUUAUCUUUAUCUUCACGGCGCACGCACAAGGGGGGUGUCUGGUCAUUUGCUUCGCCUCCUAAUCACUCAUAGGUGCCUGGUGGUAUCCGUACUCUAUAAAUAAAAAAAAAUCUUUUAUAUAUAUAUAUAUAUUAUAUAAUAAUAUUAUAAUAUAUAUAUAUAUAUAUAUAUCAAUAUAUUCUAAUACUAUCGAUAGAACCAAAUCCUUAGUACUGUUGAGUUUGUCUACCGUUAGAUCUAUACUUUGAUCAUUUCCACCCGUUAGAUUAUACUAUUAAACCAACCACCCACUCAACGCUAGGGAACCACUAUCAUCCUAACCGCACAUCCUUUCAUCCAACGGCCGAAAACUCAAUAGUACCAAAGACUUGGUACUAUCGAUAGUAUAGUAGCAUAAUUCUAUAUAUAUAUAUAUAUAUAUAUAUAUAUAUAUAUAUAUAUAUAUAUAUAUAUAUAUAUAUAUAGUCCGGCUAUGGUGUUUGUAAAAGUAACAAGUAUUUGGUACUUGUAAAUUUUUUACCGCUAGAUCUACGUCUUUGAUCGUUUUAACCCGCUAGAUUAUACUAUUCAACCAACCAUCCACUUAACCCUAGGGAGCCCACAUCAUCUUAACCGCACAUUCCUUAAUCUAAGGGCUAAAAACUUACAAGCACCAAUGACUUGGUACUUUUAAAAAUAUAGCUCAAUUCUAUAUAUAUAUAUAUAGAGUUGAGCUAGAAUACUUAUAAAAGUAUUAUGUGAGUGGUGCUUUUGAGUUUUUAGCCAUUGGAUGAAGAGAUGUGAGGUUGAGAUGAUGGUGGUAGGUGGUGGUAGGUGGAAUAGUGUUUGAUCCAAGGACAAUUAGUAAUCAAGGAGUAGAUCCAAUGGCUAAAAACAUAAUAGCAUCAUGGGGGUAAUACUUGUAAAAGUAUUCUAGCUCAAUUCUAUAUAUAUAUAUAUAUAUAUAUAUACCAAUUUAAUUUCGGACCCGAUCCGAAUUUAUUUGAACGGGUCUAAAUAGUGGCUAUCCGUUUAAAAUCGGAUACAGAUCGGAUACGAAUAACCGUAUACAUAUGUUUUAUAAAAAACUUUAAGACGGAAAUAAAAUAAAAAAAUGAGUAAAAAAUAAAGAGUAAAAAAAUUAGAAAAAAAAAGAAGAAUAAAAGAGUGGCUAGAAUUUCAUUAGGAUAAAAAUAUAUAGAGUUCCCUCAUUUAUAAGUACUAUGAAAAUUAAUCCCUCCACUUCAAAAGUUCAACUAUUGAAUAUUUCAUUGAAUUAGGAUACGAAUCCAGAUUUGAAAAUUAUUUCGAACCUUUACCAUUUAAAAGUCGGAUUCAAACCGAAUCCAAGUCAACUAUGAACAUAAAAUAUUUGAAUUGAUAUUCAAAAUUUUAAUUCAUAUACUAAUUUUUUAUGGAAUUCGGUACGAGUUCGUAUAGAAUCCGUAUGGAAUAUGGGAUGCAAAAUAUUUUGUACAGCUUUGCUUAUCAUCUAAUGCAAAUAGCAUGUAUUGCGACGUCACGCGGUUGGUCGGUGGCUUCCAACCGCUUGUGUCAGAAUCCUUAAAUGAAGAGCUUAUAUGUCACCGUUGCACUCGAGAGAUUUGCACGCACGGGUCCAAAAUGGUCAAACCAGGUUUCGCUAACCUGGAAAGGAAGAGACCGGAUAAUUGACCCCAGAAACAAAUUUCUUUUUUCACGGCAUGCAUUGUGUUAAGAAUAUUCAAAUACUUACAAUGUUCUCUACUGCUCAAUGACCUGUAUGUAUGGUGGACUCUCCCUCUCCAUCAUAUAAAUAUUCUUUGGUUAAAAUGUCUUUAUCUAUGAAAAUAUGAAGUAUCUAUAUUUAUUUAUACCAUACAUUAUACUUUCUAAAUUGUCACAUGGCAACAUUCUUUUUAUUUAUUGAUUGAGUGUGGGCUUAUCUCGAAUAGGCUCAAAUUCUUUUAUAUAUUUUUUGCUUGGACCGAACCAAAUUUCUUUUUUGGGUUAAACUAAACCGAUCAUUGUUAAGUAUGGGCUCAUUCAAACCAGCUCAAGUUUUUCACUGUUUUUUUUUUUUUUGCUUGAACCGGGUUUGGUUUUUCUCUUUUUUUACUUGAAUCAAAUUGGGUCAACCUGUUGCAUUGGGCCAAACUGGCUCAAUUACUCCACAUGUUUUCAUCUUUCAAUCGAAUUUUUUUCUUUCUUUACUUGAACCAAACGAUCACUGUCAAGUGUGGACUCCAACUCAGAAUCGAUUCAAGUUUUUCUUCUUUUUGUUUGAACAGAAUCGAGCCACAUCUCUGCAGUAAACAUAAGUGUUCCUCUUCCCCUUUCUUCUACUGUUAUAUUUCUUGAUAAGAUGAAUUUCAUCUCUCAUCAUCGUUUUUUUUAUCACCAUUUUCUCUUUUUUAUUUCUUUUAUUUUUAAUUAUUUAUUUGUCGUAUCGUACGGAUUACUACACUAGUAUAAGCAUUACAUGUCCACGUUCAUAAAAUGACAAGGGCAAAUGAGAAACUAAGAACGUCGAGAGGGAUUUUUUAAUGGGAAGAAGUAUCUGCUGCAAACCAAAAGCAUUAGUAGAAGAUGGUAACGUGCUUUUAUUUUCCGAUAUGAGCAUCUGUUACUAGUUGGCUCCGUAAAACAUGCAGAUCUUACACAUUAAUUGUUAGGCCAAUAUAUAUCUUCCCACAUCUACCUUCGAUGUAAUAUCUAAACUGUCAUAUUCGCACCUUCGAUCUAAUAUCUAAACAGUGAGGAUCCUCCAGGUGCUGUAGUUCUACUAUUAUGAGAAAGGAAAGAGACAAUGUAUUACUAAACAACUUCAUUGCAAAGCCUACGCUGCUAAAAAAAAGUCCAAAGCAUGCCGACACAGGCGGCACUACUCAAACUUUGGUUUGUGCAUUCUACGUUUCCUCCUUGCAGUUUUUGGGGUCCAGUUUUGAGCUGGCCAACGGUCGAGACCAAAAGUAUUUCUGACCCAAUCAACUUUUGUUGUUCACUACGCAAACAUUCUCUCCCACAAAAUCGCAGGUCUUAAGCACUUACUUGGUUUGGCUCAUUGAACAUCUUGUUAGUGAGCCGUGUGGUAGCUGGCAAAUAUUUGUCAAACAAAAAUAUUAGCCCUCAAUAUAUAAUUAUUAUUUUUUAAGAAUAUUAUAUAUAUAUAUAUAAUCAUAAAUUCUAUGUGAUUAAAUAUGCUGAUGAAUGAACUUUUCUAAUCUAGUCUACUCAUUAUUAGUUAUCUUGCAUUGCCACCUUGAACGGAUGCAAUAUGAUGUCUUCUCCAAAAAAUAUAAAGAGAUCAGAAAAAGUUAUCACUGAUUUUUUUUUCUUUUUUUUUUUGGUUGUCGAAUAAAUUAACAUUGUAGAUUGAUGAAGUGCGAAACAAUCUAGCAUCUUCAAAAUCACACCUAUUCCAAAAGCAGUGGCUCCAACGUAAAAGUUGACAUCCUUGUGUGUAUCACAAGAAAUAGUUGAUCAGAGGACUUCAAUAGAGAGUUUUUACUGCUGUUUUGAAGACAAUUUUGCACAGACCAAAUCUGGAUCUAAAACAAUACAAAGCGAGCCCAUCCUUUAGAAGUGCAUUCAACAACUGCGCGCGUAAGAAUUGGGCCGGGUCAGCCCAGUUCAAUUUGAGAAUCUUAGCAUUGGAGUUGUAUCCGCUGGGGAUCCAGUUCAAUUUGGCGGUUAGUGCGAGGCCAUCAAGUCCCUUUACCCAAAUGGUCUAGCUUGCUAUUUGUCAACCUGAAAAGUAAAGAGUAACCGACGACAGGGGCUCCUCAUCUUUUAUCUCCUUUAUCUCUACCUCACGUACCAUUGUACCAAGAGCAAACAAGGGAGAGAAGAACGUAAAUUAGAACCAAAUUAGAUUAGAGAAAAAGGUGCUGCAGGGUCCCAAAUUGAAUCACACCAGUCAAAUAAGAUCAGGUUAAAUGCAACAUUGAUACUUGCAAAUUGAAACCAAAGCAACGAUUUAUUAAUUCAUAAGAUCAGUUACAUGCGUAUCAUGAAAUAUUUUUGUUACACGUUUGCUACCUCGAAAGGUUAAUAAAUCGCGCUCGACAAACUGGUGCAAAAUCCAAAUCAACUGGAGUUAAGUCGCGAUGGACAGGUUUGACGAAUGGUCUACAGAACCCUACGGCUUGUGCCACGUGCGAGACUCCCUCUUCGGGACAAAGCUACUGCGCCUAUAAAUACACGGCCCUCGGAGACACGCCUCUCUCCUCACCGCUUCCUCUCUUAUCCUUCUCUCCUCCUCUUUCGUCUCAUUCCAUUAUCCUAGAGGACAAGAAUCCAAAUCCAUCAAAUCCGAAACUAAUCUCCUCCGAUCUCUCUCUUCUCCGCAUCCACAUUGCGCGUACGAUCUAAGUAUCGCGAUCGCCAUUGGCAUUGGAGUUCCCAGAUCUUCUCUUCGGUGCGUAGGUUUCUUCUUCCGUUUACUCUCAUCGUCUCCAUUGGAUCUUAGCAUUUCACAUAAUAUUUACAAACUAUGGCUUUGUUUCCGAUCUGAAUGGUUUUGUAACUCGAUCUGUGGAUCCGAUCCUUAUUUCUUAGUGUAGACGCGAGCCAUUGAUUAUCGUUAAGCGACUCCACAUCUAAUAUACGAUGGGAUACGAUUUAACAUCUCAAAUGCAAAGAAAAAUUACUGCUUGUUAUAGAUACGAGGAGACAUAUUCCCUAGACAUCCUAUUCUCUAAUGUCGCAGAUCUGGUAAUAGACUUUAUUAGACGAUAUUGAUCAGAUGUUGGUGAAAUAACUAAAACUAGGAACCGAUGGCUACUGAUCUAUCUGUUUCUGAUUUCUGAACUUUUAUAUCUUUGUACAGAAAUCAGAGAAUUAUUUUUGAUCGUUUUGAUCAUGUGGAUGUUCAAGCCCUUCGCGGGUAAAGAACCUACCAACUUAGAAGGCCGCACAGUUGCCGUCGGCAAUGUGAAGGUCAACGUUCGAAAUGUCAUAGCAGAAGGAGGGUUUUCCUGUGUCUAUAUCGCCCGUGAUUCUGCAGACGCGUCGAAGCAGUAUGCUCUAAAGCAUAUGAUCUGCAAUGAUCAAGAUUCGUUGGAUCUUAUCACGAAGGAGAUCAAAGUAAUGCUGCUGCUCAAAGGGCAUCCAAAUGUUGUCAAUCUUGUUGCUCAUACCAUAACGGAUACAGGCAGGAUGAAGGAAGCAUUGCUCCUGAUGGAGUUCUGUGAGAAGUCAUUGGUUAAUGCUCUAGAGGACAGAGGGGGCGCAUACUUUGAGGAGAGGCAGGUGCUUUUGAUUCUCAGAGAUGUUUGCAAUGCUGUAUUUGCCAUGCAUAGCCAGUCGCCACCCGUUGCUCAUAGGUAUGUGGACUUUAUUUAUGCAUCUGCUUUUGGAAUUUGUGAUUCUUACUGUUUAUGUACUAGAAAAGAAUCGACUUCUUGGUGUCUUAGGUUACUUGCUUUGCUGAAGUCACAUAUGUCAGAAUUAGGAGUUAGUUUCUCGAUGCCUCCUGCAUUUUUCUUGAUAUUAUUUUUUUUGUAUAUGUUACCCAAGUAUGCUAUAUAUCAACUUCUGUAUCAAAGAUCUCUACAACUGAUAGUAUAUUCCUGUGUAAUGGAAAUGCUUGCAAAUGUGGUAUUUGUCUAGAUCUCCAUAUCAGGAUUUAUCUCCAACAUGAGACAUUGAUUUUGUCGAUAUGUAAGUGCAAAUUCAUUUUUCACCCUUAUUAUGGCUGCACUAUGGAGUCCUCACAUUUUUAUGUUAGUGCAACAGUAACUCCUGAUGCAAAGUGUUCACCUAUUUUUCUCAAAGGACUCUCUUGUCCAAAAUUCUGAUGUAAAACCUUUUGUGCCAUGACCUACAGAGACUUGAAAGUUGAAAAUGUUCUGCUUGGUUCUAACGGAGCUUGGAAACUAUGUGAUUUUGGAAGCACUUCAACCAACCACAAGCGCUUCGACAGGCCAGAGGAAAUGGGCAUUGAAGAAGACAACAUUAGAAAGCAUACAACUCCAGCAUAUAGAGCCCCUGAGGUAUAACAUAGAACCACAUUGUUUUUCAAUUUUGAUGAUUUUUGUUUAAAAAAAGAACUUAAAAGUGGUUGUUUUAGAGCACACGUACAUUAAAUGCACUUCUGUUUUGCUUCUGACAGAUGUGGGAUCUUUAUAGAAAGGAGGUCAUCAGUGAAAAGGUGGACAUUUGGGUGAGCAACUUGAAUUUGAGAUCUUGUGUUUUUCCCACUAUGAUAUGCACUUAGCAUCUUCAUUGCUCAAAAGUGUACUUGAAAAUAAGUUGUACGUAUGCACUUUAUGUUGUUAUAUGCAAAAUAUGAUUUGCAUUCGCUACUGAACUAUCGUCAUUGAUAAUGUAAUCAGGCUGUUUUUAUAUUUCGGUACAUGAUUAUAGUGUUCUUCUGUACUUCUCAAAAAAGAAAAAAAAAUGCUAUUGUUUAUUUGGAAAUAUGCAUCAAACACCUUUGAACUUUGAAGAAAUUUGAUACUAACUAUCUGAAACAACCAAUCUGUUUCAAUCAACCACCUACCCGCUAAUUCUAGCAAUAUUUUGUCAUAGCCAAUAGCACAUGGUUGUCAACUUCAGCUGUUGCCCUUCUUUUUAUGAAAGGCUAGACAAGUUUAGGGGCACUGAGUCAGUUGGCUUUUGUGCGUCUAGUGGAUUUAUCCUCUCUUUUCAUAUGCAACCUUUGUAAAGUAAGACCAAGCCAUCUGUUAAUCUUCCUACAUCUGGCAGGCUCUCGGAUGUCUUCUUCACAGAAUCUGCUACCUGAAAUUGGCAUUUGAUGGCGAGUCAAAGCUUCAGAUACUGAAUGGAAACUACCAAAUCCCUGAUAUACCUAAAUGCAGCUCUUUCAUUACAGGCCUCAUUAAAGACAUGUUGGAAUCCUCUCCAAGUGCCAGACCAGACAUUACACAGGCAAGGGCUCUGCCUGAUUGGCAAUUCAUCUCCAUCACACUAGGUUAGUCAUAGAAGAUUGUUGCAUAUGCAGUAGCCUCAUAGCUGAAAAUUAGCUAAAUUCCUUUUUGCUGAUAGUAUGUCCCUUGUAAAUUGCAGGUGUGGUUUCGUGUUAACGAGCAACUACCUAUGGAGUUGCAGAAAAACCUACCUGAUGGAAUCCCAUCUGCUAUUGGCAUAACUCCUGCCUCAGUUUUGCUUGAUGAAGGUGAGAAAAUAUUGAAAAACAUAAUUUAGCUUUUCUGCAUGAACAUGUAAAAUUUGGUAUAUAAAUGGUUUGUGAAUUUAGCAACCAUCCCUGGCGCAAGUGGCAAAGGAUUUGACGGUUGAUACCUGAGAUCCUAAGUUUGAAGCCUAAUUGCCUCACAUUUCUAGCUGGUUUGUUUCCAAAAAAAAAAAAACGGAGCAAGUAGAAUGCUACCUUUCUCUCUCAAAAAAAAAAAAAGGGUUUGUGAAUUUGCUUGGUGUCAUUGAAGAUUCUUGCAUAGAAUUUUGAUUGCAUUCUCUGUUUCAUUUUCACACCUUAAAUUUGUAUCCCAAAAGAAAUUGCGAACAAACAAAGAUAUACAUGGAUAUAUACAAAUCUAUAUGCCCAAUAUAUAGUAGUACUCAAAUGAAUUAUCUAUGCUUCAAGAACCCCCAGCCCUGCUGCCCCCAAAACAGAGAAAAAGUGAAAAACCUAGCAGUGGAUUGAGACUUUCAAUCAGGUAGUAACUAUAUACUUGAAAAUCGAUGUUCCUAGUCUCUAUCCUUUGUUCUAUAGAUCUUUUCCCUCCUAGCCUUUAGUUUGAUGAUUUUGAUAGAUGAAGUAUUAAUUACCCAGAAGCCCACAAAAGGACUCCUAUGAUGCCGAGGAGAAGCCCUCCUCCUCCACCCUCAUCAAAGGAACAGGUGAGAAGUACCUCACAAGCUGCUGAGCAGGAGAUGCUGGAGUCUAAAUUAUCAAGAACAGGCCAAGCUCCAAUUGGUGCAUUUUGGUCCACACAGCAUGCGCAGAAUCCACCAGUAGUAGAAAAUAAUCGGCCCUUAUUCGAGAAAGAACAGAUCAAAACUUCAUUGACCAAGCAGAAUCAGAAUAGAAUGGACAUCAGAAAUAGUGCUGAUUUUUCAAUUCAUGAUUCCCAGAAAACGAUUAUGCCAAAUCCUGGGGGAAAGCCAUCAUUUCAGACUGCAGCAUUUAACACAUUCGUGGCUGAUUUUGAUACCAGUAAGGUUAAUUCUGGGAGCACCGGUGGCGAUAGCAAAGAUAAUUUAUCCAGGAGAAAAGAGUUGGAAGAAGAAGUACAGAAUCUCAAGGAACAACUCAAGAAAACUAACAUGGAAAAAAAGGAGAUAAAUUCUAAGUAUGAGGAACUCUCCACCAUCUGUCACUCCCAGAGGCAGGAGAUCCAACAUCUGAAGCAAGCCCUUGCAGCAGCACCAGCAUCAUCUCUGACAAAUUGUAGCUUGAAGAGCAAUCCACAGUUACAAACUCUGGUAAAUUUUACUCUGAUUCCUUAAUUAGUUUGAUGCUCUCUUCAAUUAACCUUCUUUAAAACUGCACCGAAAUUUUGCUCUUUUUCUUCUCCUUCUGCUAAGGGAUUGUUUGGUCGAGUUAGAGCUUCCACGAAGUGCUAUUCAAAGAAGCCCUAGCAAUGUUGUUAAAGUCUCCUAAGAGCUUUUGCUACAGCGAUAACUAAAAUAUUGCAAGUCCCAGUUUGGCCUUUGCUUCUACUUCUGCUUUUAGUUGCAACACCUGCAGUGGAGCAUUUAGCAGAUAGUUACUUCUAAACCUACUACGGUGGGAAGCUAAAAUGAGAUUCCUAGCACUAAAAGCAAAAGCUCCUAGUAACUUUACCCAAAUACUGUUCAUCAAAGAGAAAUAUGCUACAGCAUGGCCAAACAGAAAUUUUGAGCUUCUGCCAUUAGGGCCUGGAAUCUUAGUUCUGCUUCUAGCCCUACCUAGACCUUUAUAUUUGCAAAUAUCUAGCUUUUGCUUUUCAACUAGAGGAAAUAACUGCACUAACUAUAUGUAUGGUCCUCACAACUAUUGUAGCAAAGGGAGAAAACUGAAGGAACUGUGCGGGAACGCCACCAAGGAAUGUUCGCAAGCAGCUCUUCAUUGCCCAACUCGGAUGCCAAACAGUGGCUGGCUUUUACUGAGCCGAAACCCCAGCCAACACCAAACGGUUAUCAUAGUAAACUGCCAGCUGGACCAAUCAAUGGGUUGCAAAAUUCAACUGAACGAAAGGCCACAAGCUCAUCUAAUGAUCUAUUAGGCUUUGGUCUAGAAACUCUCAUAGUGCCACCGCCAAAUAAUGCACAUCUAUCCGGGACUGAUGCUCGAGAGUGUUCUUCACAGAGAUUCAGUGGAGUAACAAUGAAUCCAGAGAACCAGCAACCACCAGGGUGGGCUAACUUUUAAAGUGCAACCACGCCAAAUACUGCACAUAUAUUGAGUAUUGAUAUUAUUUUUUUAUGUACGGUCAUGCGAAACAGAUUGAAUGGACCGUGGUCAACCUCUUUCUCUCUCUCCUUUUUUGUUUUUUGGAUAUUGAUGAUUCUUUUUACAGAUUGAUUUUGGAUUCUAGGGCUUUGGUUAGGUAUUCUUUUUAGGUGAAUUAUUUUGUGUUCGUAAUAAUUUCUGAACUACCGAAUUCUUGUAUAUUGGCUGUUCAAUGAGAGUUUAUAGUGUGCUCACAGGUUGCGUGCUCUAUUAUAGGAUGAUCAAAUGAAAGUGUGUUUGUUGCAUGGUCUCAAACCUGUUAAUUGUAUUGUCGUAUGAAAUCCAUGGACCUGGAUAGUACAAAUCAGUUGAAACCUGAAUAAGGAGAUGAGAAUAUUUUUUUUUUUUGAGAGAUAUAAGGAGAUGAGAAUUAGGAGCUUCUUUGAGCCCUUGGUUUCCUGCUGUAGCCAACUGGUUGAGUUAACACUCCUUCAUCGGUGACCCAGCAUUUAUUCAGUCUUUUUGCUGGAAAUGAAAUAGUGGCACUCCUAGCCGGCAUGGUUGGAGCGAGAUACUACAAACUGCAUAAAAAUAUAACGCAGGUUCAGUCAAAGGAACAAUUAAUCCUCUACUAGUGUUUAAAGUUCAAAUGAAUGGACCUCUAAGCCGAUGGUUCAACUGCUUUAAGUUCGAUUCCUAAUUAUUAUUUAGUAAUAAUGUUAUAAUCUUCAUAUACUUAAAGUUCAUAUUCUUGAUCGACUGUCGGGAUUGAAUUCGUUUAUUCUGCACCUUUUCUAGAACUUGUGUUGCUAUUUCUGCUUGACAAUUUUUUUUUCAUCUUUUAGUUACAUGAGAGCACCACCUUAAAACCAAUUUUUAUUGCAGAUAAUUAGCAGAAACGUGCAGCAAAGGAGAAAUAUAUUUAAGGAAGAAAUAAUAACCAAUUGAAUACAAAGGCGGGGAUAGCUCAGUUGGGAGAGCGUCAGACUGAAGAUCUGAAGGUCGCGUGUUCGAUCCACGCUCACCGCAAAUAAUUAUUUUUUAAAUUUAUUUGUUAAUGUUAAUUAAAAAAAAAGGACUAUCAAUGUUGGAGUAUAUUCUAAAAACAGCUUGGUAUAUAAACCUACCAAUUACUCGCUGGAUAAGGACAAUUAACUCUUUUAAAUAUAAAAAGUUAAAUUUUAAGUUCUCUCUAUUUGCCACAGCCAAUCUUUUGUGGCUAAUUUUUUAGUAGAUUUGCCUAUUCCCCACAAAUUGACUCCUGAGAAGCUUGGGUGAGACUAACCUUUCUCACCUGUAGAUAGGUGAUGUCUAAAUUUCUUAUUCGGGCUUCAGCAGGAAUCCUAGGAAGUCUACUAGAACUGGACUAAUUCUAGAGUUAAAAACAAUAAUAAUAAUAAGAGAAAAACAGAACUACGAAGUUACAUUAUUAUUUUAAUUUUUAGACAUCAAACUAUAUUUGUGCUUUCGACAAUAAAAGCAAUCUAAUAUUUGCUUAAAAAAUAACCGAUCGUCCCUAGAGCAAGUGGUAAAGGAUUUGGUAGUUGGUACUCGAGACUUAAGUUCGAAUUCUAGUUGAUUCAUAUUUUCAGCUAAGUUUAUUUCUAAAUGAAAUAAACGAAACGGAUAGCGUGCUAUCUAUCUCUUAAAAAUAUAUAUAUAUUUGCUAAAAAAAUAUAAUAAUGAUUGUAUCAAAUAGGCUCUGCAUUUUGCCAGUGAAUGAUGUACACAUGGCAUAACUGUCAAGCUAAGCCUCCACUAGUUAGGUAGAGAGAGAAUCAAUUAACAUCAAUAGAAAAAUGAAGAAUUUUUAUAUUAUAUGAGUGCCAAGUAUGACAAAUCGUACCAAUCAAAGGUUUUUUUUUUUUCACUAUUUGACAGAUCCUGACAGGAUUUUAAUAGGCCAGGUUCGGGUAAAUUUUUAAAAAUUCAAACUCAAAUCUGAUUAAUAAAUUCAAAAGUUUAAUUUCUUUUUGAAUCCAAAUUCAGACCGAAAAUAAUAUAGAAUACAUAAUUGGAUUCUCCAGUCUCCACCAGUAUAAAACACGGUUGUGCGGUCAAACCACCAACCAGAAUUCUCCACGUAAAAGCUUUUUUUCUCGCUCUUUUUUUCUUUUUCUUCUUUUGACUUAAUUAUAUUAUAUUAUGCUGUAAAUUAUAAUUUUUUUUUUUGACGUUCGAUAUUGUACUUUUUUUUUUAACUCACCAUUCAGCGAUCUUUUUUUCAAUUUUUUCAAUUCCUACAAUAUAGACAAUAAACAUAUAAUUUUAUAUAAAAUUAUUUAAAAAUAUUAAUUAAAUAAAUAUAUAUUUAACUUUUUGAUAUAAAAAAUAAUUAAAAAUUAAUAGGAGUUUUUAAUAAAUCUAUUAGGAGAUUCAUUUUAUAAUUUUUCUACUACUAAUCAGUAUUUUUUAAUAAAAUUAUUAAAUUUUAUCUAAAGCAAUCGAUUUAGUUAACAAUAAUAUAGAAAUUAGCAAAAGAAAAAAAGUAAUAUCUAUUAAAAAAUAGUAUAAUAUAGAAAAAAUACAGUACAGAAAUUGGUAAAAAAUAAUAAUACAAUAAUAAAUAAAAAAAAUAAAAUAUAAAUUUAUAAAAAAUAAUAAUAUAAUAAUAGUGCAAUACAAAAAAUAUAAUAGAGUAAAUAAAAUAAUAGUACAGUACAUGUUUUCUUUUAAAAUUUUUGGAAAAGGCCACUCUAAUCAAGAAAAAGAAGGUAAUUAGUAAAAUACUUAACAACACUUCUUCAGUGUUAACCCGAGUUACUUAAUUUCUGUCCGAGAAAAAGAAAAAAAAAAAGAAAGACAGAGAAACAGGUUAAUUAAAGAGUAGGGAAAAACACACACAAAAGCGUUUAGAAUCCUAUGACUAGUAAUGUCCCACCGCCCCGCGACGUCACCUAAUUUACACACAAUGCCACCAACGCAACCGCCUUUUUACCUGCGCCCGCGCUUCCGCGCCGACGAGGACGCCGGGGGCGGCGGCGGCGGCGGAGGCUUCGCCGCCUCCCCCCUCGCCUUCUUCGCCGGCGGCGGCGUGGGCGGCGCCGCCGCCCUCUUCGGCGGGCGCCCCACGCUCCUCCUCGUCGCGGCCCUCUGCUCCGGCCCCUGCCGCUUCGAGGAUCCGCCGGCGGAGCCCUGAUCCCUGCGCGCCUCUUCCCUCCCCGAUUUCCUCUGCUCCGCCGCUCUGGAGGGGCCGCCGUCUCCGCGGCCGCGCUCUUCGACGACGAUGGCGAGCUCCGGUUCAUCCGGUUCAGGAAAUCGGCCGCGGUCCGCUUCUUCGCGGCGGCGGUGCUGCCGCCGCUCUUCUUCUCGGGCUUCUUCGCCGCUUCGGCGCUCGUACUCUCCACGGGCUUAGGAGGCUUAAAGCUCGGCGAGGGAGUGGCGGUGGAGCUCCUCAGGGAAGCGCUUAAGCUGCUACUGGCCCCACUGCUCCCCCUGCUCUUGUUCGUCCUCAGCCCCCGCGUUCCGGAUCUCUCUUUAGUCGUCUUCUUCGGAGGGGUGGGGGUGGGGGUGGGGGUGGGGUCGGGGUCCGCCUCGUCGCUCUCCCGCUCCUUCCGAUCCUGCUCGGCCUUCUCCUCCUUCGCCGGUGGCGUAGGCGCCGCCUUGGCGAUGGAGCUGCGCUUUCGGCACACGAUCAUCGGGGCCGCGGCGGAGAUCGGCUUCUCGAGGUGAGAUCCGGAUCCGGCGGGAUCCCGAUCCGCCCUGAGCUUCGGCGCCGCCGCCCCCCCCGACUGCGGCGGAGGCGACGGCGACCGCGACGGCGACGGCGACGGCGACCGCGACGAGGGCGGCGGCGAAGGGUCCUGGCGCGGUGCGCGGAGGGGCUUUGGGAGGGCGGAGGCGAUCUCCUUGGAGACGAGGUCGCGGAGGUGGGACGCGGCGACGGACUCUGGGGAGUUUCUGGGGAAGAAGACGCGGGCGUUGUGGCACAGCAGCAGCACGUCGCGGAAGAACUCCGCCGCGCUCCCAUACGGACGCCGCCCGCUCCCGCUCCCGCUCCCGCUCCCGCUCCCCCGCCUCUCCAGCUUCGCCCGCACCAUCUCCAGAUCCACGUGUCGCCGUAUCAGACUUCGAUAUCUCGCGCUUUCCUGAAAAAAGAAAAAAAUUUUUUUUUUUUUUUUUGCUGUUGUUGUUGUUUUUCCGUCUCAACGAUCUCCAAUAUAAUUUAAAAAUGUUGUACAUUAUUUGUAUUUAGCAAUUCAUUAUUUGUCCUAAUUAAGCCUAAAAAAAUUUAAGAUAAUACCGAGGUUGAAUACAGAAUUUUAAAAAAUAUCUAUAUAUAUAUAUAAUAUAUUGUCCUACGACACUAUUUAAUUAAUAUGUCAAAGAAUAUUUAAUAUAAAUUACUGUAUAAAAUAGCUGUCUGGCAUGGACUGUUUGUCUACUACACACCUUUCUUUUUUUUAAAUAUGCAAUAUUUAUUAAUAAGACGAUUUAAGCAGUAAAAGUAAUUUAGAUUAGGGCAAAAGCCUAAUUAAAGAGUUAUUGAACCAAUACUAUUUCACGGAGGAGUGGAAUUUGUGUUAUACUGCAGAAAUAUUGUAAGGCUUAACAUGGUCACAAAAGCUGCGGGAACAUGCUUUCUCGUUAACUCCACGUGGCAAUGGAUAAUUGGAUAUAAUAUCAAACGGUGGCCUAACGGGGCCCAAAUUACAGCCACGACGGCGAGGCACCGUCCCCCAGUUACCACAUAUUUUGGCCUAUCUUAUCUCCAACGUCGUGGUAAGCACGACGGUGGAGAUUGAUUUUAUUAUUAAAAAAAAAAGGAAAAAAAAAAACUCAUACGUGUCCCGAUCCGCCAGACGAAAUUCACACACUAAUAUUUUUGAAUUCGGUUGUGGCGAACGCAUACGAAAUAUUGGUUGCAUCGCGGUGUAUUCGUACAUCAAAUAAAAGGCAUAAAUUAGGACUUUUUUUUGCAAAUAGUCUUCUGACAAAUUUUAUUUACAAAACUAGUUUCGUUCAAAAAUUAUUUGUAAAAAUGACCGUCACUGCCACGCCAGCGUCACGUCAGCGCCAUUCGGACAGGACGGGCCCAGGUAUUUAAGUUGAACACGGUGAACCAUUCACCGUGUUCAAUAUAAGAUUUUUGUAUUGAUACCCCAACAAUGACUAAGUUGGAGGUAUUUGUAUUAGACACGGUGAAUCAAUACAAAUUAUUGGACACGGUGAAUGGUUCACCGUGUCCAAUACAAAUAUUUCAAUCUUAGCUAUUUUGUAUUGAACACGAUGAAUCAUUCACCGUGUCCAAUACAAUAUUCACCGUAUUCAACUUAACCAUCUGGCCCAGCCCCGCCCGCGUGGCGUUGACGUGGCGCUUGCGUGGCGGGAUCAGGACUAUUUUUGUAAAUAAAUUUUUGACAGGACCAAUUUAAAAAAAAAAAUAUUAUAAGGAGGCUAUUUGCAAAAAAAAGUCCCGUAAAUUAUAAAUCGUUAUAAAUAUAAUUUUUAAGCAGUAAUUUCUCCCAAAAUCAAGAGUCUAUGCAAAAUACAGUAUUUAAGCCCUAGGUAGCAGAUGUUCAAAAAUAAUAAUUUUAAAUAUUUAAAUCUUCUCAAUGUCAUUAGAAAAAAAAUGUUAAAAUCUCUCAAAGAUUAAAUUUUUGAUGCAUGGUGCAUGAAAUGUGAUGAUACACCGGGUGCAUGCAAUAGGUUUCUGAUGACUCGUUUUCUUUGAAUUUCUUGUUCAGAAAACCGCCCAUUUGGCUUCUGCAAGUGGACCAAAUAUGCUCACCGAACUCGCGAGACGAUAACGUUGAAAUACUCGCGCUUCAAUCAAUUAUUUAUUAUUGCUCGUUUAAUUUAUAAAAAAAGGAACGGGUCGUGCAUUAUUAGCUCGUUCGUUCGGUGCGUGUUUUUAGUUUCAGUAAGUUGCGGCUCCGAUAUAUCGGGCAAACGACGCGAGAAGUUAAAAGUACCUGGCUCUCGAGCCGGCGCUCGAAAACGGUCCCAUACUUGUUCGAUCGGAUAAUCUCGAGGAAGGAGAUCAACGGCUGUGAUUCAGCGGCGCUGAGGGAGGGAGAGGCCCCGUCCGCCUCCGCCUCCGCCUCCGCCUCCGCCUCCGCCUCGCCGAGCUCUGCACGUCGCUGCUCUCCUUCUCCGCCUCCCCCUCCUUCGUCUCCGUCGCCGACUCGCCGGACUCGCCACCCCGCGUCGGAGGCGCCGCCGCUGCCGCCGCCCCGCCGGAGCUCCCAUCGCAGGACUCCUCCACGGCUGCCUUCGGGCCCCCGCCUCCCCCACCGCCGGCGGCGGCCGGAGCGGACUCCUCCGGCGGCUUUUCCUCCUCCCCGGGCCUGCCUUCCUCCUCCUCCCGCGCUGCCUCCUUUAGAUCGGUCGAGUUGGAUUCCUUGCACGAACCGCCGGAGAUUCGAUCUCCGGCGAGCUCCGGGGCCGACCCCGAGGAUCCCGCGUCCUUCGCCUCCCUCUCCCCGUUCGGAUCCGGCUUCCCCUCGCCGGACUCCGUCUCCGGCGGGCUCCGCUCGCGCUCUUCCUUAAGCCUGUUAACCUUUAAUUGCAGCGAUCUAGAAUAUAUAUUAUAUAUAUAUAUAUAUAUAUAUAUACAUACAUAUAUAUAAAUAUAUAUAUGAAAAAGGAAAAAAAUCAAGAGCGUUAAUAGCCGUUAGAUCUUGAUCGAACGACGCAUACAAAUAAAUAAAAAAAAAUUAACGACGCGUGCAAAUAAAUGGAGAAAAAAAAAAAAAAGAAGAAAAAGAAAUAGGACGCGAGGAGCGAUUCAGAUGAGGCGUACACAAUCGAGAGAUCGUAUCGCUCGACCUCACGGCGGAACUCGGCGACACGGAGCUCCUCGAGCCAGGGGACGGCGUCGACGGGGUCUGGAUCAGCGUCGGAGAAGCGGCGGCGGAGGUGGCGGAAGCGGAGGCGGCAGCUGUGUGGGGUGAGGAGGUGGGCGAAGGGGCUCCGCGCCUGGACCUCCAUGGCCACGGAGUCCCAGCUCCGCGUGCCGUGGCGGCUAACGGCGCAGGCGAGGAGGAGUUCCUCCCACGUCCCCCAGAUCUCCUCCUUCUCCCCCUCCGGAUCCUCCGAUCUCACCAUGCCGAUGCCGAUCUCUCAUCGCGCCGCCUCCAUCGCCUCGCGCUUAGGGUUUCUCUCUCUCUCUCUCUCUCUCUCUCGCUCUUCCCUUUUCUGUUCUAGGUUUUUGGUGUCGUUCGUAAUUUCUUUUUUUUUUUUUCUUUCCCUUUUUAAAAUUAUUAAAGAUGGUGUAUAUGUAUAUAUAUUUCUCUUCUCCCCCGUCGGUUCUCUUCCCCGCGGCCCGGCUUCAGGUCUCACAGCACGAUCGAACACAGGAAAGGGUUCGAUAACCAGCACCCAAGUUAUUUCAGUGAUUUUAUUUAUUUUUAUUAUUUUUUUAUUCUUUUUUUAAUUACUGAUUUGACGAAACCACCCCUAAAAGCAACCGGAUAUUACAUGCCGUCUCGGGUGUCCAUGUCCAAAAUAUCAUCUAAUAAGAGGCAUUUCCUACUCUCUUUCUCUUUUCUUUUCUUUUCUUUUCUUUUUUUUAUUUUUUGAUAAGCUUCAAAUAUUAUUCCUAUUAUUUCCUUUUUUUUAUUCUAGUACCUUAUGUUUAAAUUAUAUCAAUUUAAUAUAUUUAUGAUUUAUUUAUUUUUUAUCGAUUUUUUUUCGUUACCUCAAACCAACAAAGUUAAAUCUAAAAUUUUUAAUUUUAAAUUUUAAAUUUUAAGAUAUACAUUUUUUAUUUCAAAUCUUAAAUUUUAAAUUUUAAAUCUUGAAUUUUAUAUUUAAAAUUAAAAUUUAUAAAUUUUGAAAUAUAAAAUGCAACUACUUGACCUGCUAACAAGAAUAACCCAUAAGGCCCAAAUCACCAAUUGAUCUGAUGUGGGACAUCUGAUGUAGGACUAUUGUAUCACAUUGCGUUGGGUCCAAACUACAGACUCAAAAUGUAUGUUUAUGCCCAGUUAUUAUUAUUAUUAUUAGCGUAUAGACCUCAUAUAUUCUAAUCAUGACAUUUUAAAUAUCAUAUUUGAAAUUUAUUUUUUAACACUUUUAAUUUUUUAAUUUUAAAUGUCAAUUUUAAAUUUUAAAAUUAUAAUUUUAAAAAUUUUAAAUUUAGAUUGUAAAUUUAAAUAUCAAAUUUUAAAUUUUAGUUCAGAUUUUAAUUUUGAAUUUUAAAAUUUUAAAGUCAAAUUAAAAUUUUAAAAUAAAUUUAAAAAAUAAAUUAUUAUUUGUAAACAGUUAAAAAUAAUAAUUUUUUAAAAUCAUUCUAAAAAAAUUAUUUUCCUGCUAAACUCAGUGGAAUUCUCUAUAAUUUUUAAUCAAGAUUAAUUUUCAAAAUUAAAAUUAAUUUUAUAAAAAAAAAUUUUAGAAUUCAGGCUAAACAGCCUUUUAUACUAGCUCGUGAACUUCUAGCUGUAACAUCUUUAUGUACACUUAAUUGUACCACCAAUUAUUUUCCGUUUAAAUUGUACAGCGUAUAAAAUGGAAGAAUAUUUUUGAAUUCUCUGUAUGCAUUAUACUGUUUUAAAAAAUUAGAUUUUAUGCAUUCCAGUAGUUAUGUUUAUGGUCUCUUUUGAAUCACAAGACAGUAAAUUCAAAACAUAUAUCUUAAAAUGUUUCAAAUUUUUCUAAAUUUAUAUCAAUUUGACAUAUAUUUUACGCCAUAUAUUUAUAUGCCGUUUGAAUUAUAAAUCUUUACCAAAAUUUUAAACAGAACAUAGAAAGGUACACACUAGUCGUGCCGGGAUAUUCAAAUUCGUUGCAUUAAGUGAUCAGAACCCUCGCCCCCUUUGCAAAUGGGCGAGGCCCUACCUCCAGUGGUGCUCUGAAUUGCAAAAUGGCUAUCGAGCAAUGCUCCAAAAUCGAAACACCCAACUUACUCAUGAGAAAGUGCUAUAUUUAGUGACCGUAUAUCAGUAAAAACCCAACUUACUCAUGAGAAAGUGCUAUAUUUACCGACCGUAUAUCGGUAAAAAUAGAUUUUUAAAAAACACAACGAAAAAUACCGACCGUCCCUAGAGCAAGUGGCAAAGGACUUGGUGAUUGGUAUCCGAGAUCCAAGUUCGAAUCCUAAUUGAUUCACAUUUCUAGCUAAGUUUAUUUCUAAAUAAGAUAAACGAAACGAAUAGCAUGCUGCUAUCUAUCUCUCAUAUAAAAAAAAAAAAAAAAAAAAAAAAAACACACACACACACACACCACGAAAGAUCAUUCGAAGUUCAGUUGAGAAAAAUUUGUGCAAAAUAGGUAACUAACAUCAUCCACACCUACCCACGAAUUGUAUUAACCACUUAUAAAAUUUGAUUGGAGACGCUUCGCGGAAAAGCUAUAGUAAAGCUUUUUAAUGAAAGAAAAUACAGAAAAUAUCUAAAACAGCAAUACAGCAAGUGACACGCAGACCAUCUUAUUUUGUUUUUUUGGCUACAGAUAUCGAUUAAUACCAUCUGCGAGGUUAAUAGAGAUGAUGGUGCUUUGUUAUCACGCGACUAAUUUUCUCCUCUCUUAGCUGGUAAGGACUAACGCGGGCGUUCAACGAGCACGUGACAAUAUCACGUGCAUUAGGACACUGAUAAGCGAACGGAUUCUAUGCAGGGAUAAUAAGAAAUUACGCGACUAAUUAAUUUUCCGGGUCCAUAGAGUUGUUCAAGUUUUGUGAGGCAAUACAAUUCACGCCGAAUUCCGAUCACUAUCCCUUCCCAUAAAAUAAAAUAUUGGCUGGAGCUAAUUUUCCCCGUCAUCGUACAAAACACAUUUACUAUUUACUACUAAGUAUUUAAAAUUGAAUUUUAAUUUUAAUUUAAUAAAUAUAAUCAUGAAGAUAGAUAGAAGGAAGUAUUUGCAAUAUUCAUGUCAGCCGCAACAGUCCGAACAAAACUGGAGCUCUAUUUCUCUAGCUCCCUGCCUCUUAGUCUUUAGGUUAAAUCGUAGCCAUAUCUGUCCUAAAUCCAUAACAGCACUAUUAAUUCAAUCCUCCGAAUUCAAAGAGCAGCACUGUCUUAAAAGUUGAAACAUCUUCCCGAUUUCCUGCUUGCAAUUUUUCCAGUUCAGGAUAAGAGGACUCAGACUGAGCUGAAACAAUCUGUUAUUCUCCUCUCCUACUGUCCUACACAAAAGUAAUGAGUUCUGAGCAUUCGCCUUGCUUCUCUGGCAUUACAUCAGAGGAGGUGACAUUUAAAGCACAAAUCUGCAUUCUGCAAAGAAAAAGCACCAUCUAUCUACAAGACUACAAGGACAAAGCAAAAUGAAGCAUAAUCUAUGGCAUAAUUUUAUAUAUAUAUAUGGCAUCAUCUAUGGCAUGCUAAGCUGCUAAAAUGCAAACAUAAAGCACCAGUUUUACAAGAAACAGAAGCAUCUUCAUCGGCACUAUAGAACACAAUUAUGCUAGAGACUCGAGCCUCAAUAAUAUCUGGCCUGCGCCACUCUACAUAAUUUCACCUCCGGCUCAUUUUAGACUCCGCCGCGCAUCCAGAGCCUUCCUCAGCUCCUCGUUCACGUCCUCCGCCGCCACUGUCUUCCCGGGAUUAUCCCCAGCCUUCCCAUUAGGGCGCCGAUCACUCUUCGCUGCAGCCGAAGUUGCAGAUGCCGCGUGUCCACCCUUCCCAAGGUCAGCACUGCCGGAGAAUUGGCCUCCGGUGGCAGGACCCGCCCUUCCGCUGCGGAUCUCCGUCCUGAGCUCCUCCACCGCCCUCCUCAGUAGCCGGCUCUCGGCCUGCAGUGCCUCCAAUUGGCCCCUCACCGCCUCCUCCUCCGCCGCCGCCGUGGCCGCCUUCCUCUUCUCCGCUUCCUCCCUCGCCUUCUCCGCGUGCGCCACGUGCUCGAUCGAGACCUUGCUCAUAGCGAGCAGCGGGAUCUUGCUGAGGGAGACCCCCGCCAUCGGAACCUUAGCAGAGUCGCCGGAGAGCGCGGCGCGGAGCUCCGGCGGGAUAUGCAGCCCCCACCGGAACCUCACGGCGGCGCCGCCCCGCAGCGGGAGGACGCUCCUCGCGGCGACCUCCAUGCCCGAGAGCAAGCCGCUGAUCCCGCCCCUCGAUGCGGUGACGCUCGCCGGGAACCCGUUAGCCGCCUUGUGGAUCCCGUUGUCGAACGGCCGGAACCCGAUGACCGGCGCAUCUGAGCCGUCGAUCGAUCCCUCGCCGUUCGCGUCGCCUAGGACGGCGCCCUUCGUGACGGCGGGAGAGAAGGCGGAGGCGUCGGAUCGGGUGGAUUUUUUGAUGGCGAAGUCGCCGAAUCGGGGCUUGAAGAGGACGGAGAAGCUCGGCCCGGCGCCGGCGCCGCGGCCGAGGAGGUUGAACUCGGCGGACAUGGCGAAGGGGGCGGCGGCGGGGGAUCCGAGCACGCCGGCGCCGGUCUUGAGGACGAGGGAGAAGGGGUUCCAGGGAUCGUUGGGGCGGUAGGAGACGCGGAGCGAGGGGCCGAAGUCGAAGGCGGUGGCCAGGUCGAGGCGGAGCUCCUUGGCGUCGCCCACGGCGAGGCCGGAGACGAAGGGGAGGCCGAGGACGCUGAUGGGGACCUUCGCGCGCACCAGAGGCUUCUGCUCCUCGCGGAACUUGAUCGAGGCCUUCAUCGCCGCGCUUCUCUCCUCUCCUUUCCUCUCCUCUUCUCUCCUAGGGUUAGGGUUCGGGUUUCGAUGGAAAACCCUAGGUCGCAACCACGGGAGGGGAGGAGGCGAAUGAAUUAGGGUUAGUGUAUGUUAAACUUGGGGAUCGCGGGGAAGGGGAGCAGCAAAUGCAGCGGGGAUUGGAUCACGCCAUGGGCGAUUGGAUCGCUUUGGAUGGACUGGAAAUUUGGGAGGAAGAGGAUAGAGUUAGGGCCAGGCAGGCAGAGGACCAGAGAAGCGUUUCUCCAUAAGAGGGCAGCAGUAGCACCAAGUGCGCGUGCGCGCGCGUGUGUGUGUGUGUUAUAUAAAGAUAAAGGCUUUCAUCUGAUCAAGUUACAUUAGAUGAUAUGGAUUUUCAAAUCGUUGGUUGAGAUCGAGUUAAGAUUAAUUUAGAAUAUUUACAUUGUAUAGAAAUUAAAUUUUAUAAAUUUUAAAAUUUAUUUAUUUACUAAUCAAAGAAUAACGAAAUCGACGGUGUUUAAUAGCUUAUAUGAGCCGUUUUCUUAUUUAACAGUGUAGAGCAAUACAACUCGUUAUAAUUUUUAAUAGAGAAUUUGUUAUACUAUUUAGAUAAAGUGUGAUAACUCCAAUCAUAAAUUAAAGGGAAAACUUCAAAAACCCUUCAUGGUUUCGUAGUUUCUCACUCUGCCCCCUGUGGUUUAAAAUAUAUCAAUUUGCCCCCCUAUGGUUUCUUUGUCUCUUUUUCUUAUCAAUUUUAUUAUUUUUUUUCCUUAAAUUAGUGAUAAAGUUAAAAUUAAAGGGUACUAAAGUGAAUAUUUGAUAAAUCUAAAUGGAUAUCUGAAGUUUUUUGUAUAUAAUUUAAUAAAAUAUUAACGAAAAAGCUACUGAAAAGAUAAAAACAAAACCAAGGGGGGCAAUUUGAUACAUUUUAAACCACAAGGAAGCAAAGUGAGAAACGAUGAAACCACAGGGGGGGUUUUUGAAGUUUUUCCUAAAUUAAAAACAUCUAACAUUUAUUUUCACAAAGUUAUUCGUUUUUUACCAUUCAAUUUUUUUUUUUUUUACUCUUUGAUAGACUUGAUAAUAAUUUUUAAAAUUACAAUAUUCGAUUUCUAAGUAUUUAUAAUAGUAUAAUUUCAACGAUAUCAAUCAUCUAUUCAGAAUUUCGAUCAUCCAAAAUGAUUUAAUAAGACAAAAACUUAUAUCAUCUUAAGAGGAGAAUAGUUCUAUGCUUUCAAAAGUACGAAAAUCUCCAUACUUGAAAGUUUGUUUUUAUAAUAGGGUAUCCAAUUUAAUGAUCGAUUUUGUUAAUCACAAUAGACGUUAUUAGAACUAUUUUAAAUUUCAUAAUUUUUUAAUAUCGUUUACUAAUUAAUUAAAAGAUCUAAAAAAUAACUAAUUUUUAAUGAUCAAUGUAGCAUAUUUAUAAAUUCAAAAAGUGUAGAAUAAUUUAAAUUAAUUAUGUAAAAUUUUAAUAACAAAUUACACUCCACGGGGAUGGGCUUCAUCUCGGUGACUUCUCUUUCAUACAGUGCCUUUUGCACCAUAAAAACGGUACUCAGCACUUUGCUUAAAUCGUAGUAACGAAAAUAACUGCACUUUCUUAUUUGUUCCUCAGCUCCAAGGAAUGCAUGCUCCUACGGCCGCUGCAGUAGCCUCUGGAAUUGCAUCCAAUGCCCAUUUCGUAUUCCGAUCUGAUACCGGGGACUGGAACGUAUGGAAAAUAAAGUUUCAGUUUGGCUAAAAUGUAUCUCCGAUCAGCUUAUGCUUCAUGUUAUCUCGGAUCUUAAAUUAAUUAUCUUAUUGUCAAUCAUGACUUCAUGACUCGUGCAUUGUUAAAAACUGAUCACAUAAUAAAUAUUUCAGGAUAAUGAAACCUGUUCUAAGCAAACACUACAUACCAAGCUUAAAAAUUCUUCUUUGGGCCUAAUUGAGUAAUUUCUACCAUACUAGUACUAGUUCAAUAAACUCUGGUCGGCUAUCCGUGUGCGUCUUUUUUUACAAAAAAAAAAAAACUUAGAAAUGUCUCGGCGCCAAUGAAUAGUACUCCAUUUACUAUUCGUAGAAACGAUUUAUUUUUCUUAAGACACCUUUUCCUGAUUUCACAGCUUAUGAAGGACAUCGUUCCACUGGGAGAGGAAUUGAUGCCUCAGAGGACCUCACAACUUGGAUCAAACUCAUAACAACGACGAUAAUUCUCAACCUGGUCCCGCUUCCACGCCACUGAGAGAGCUGAGCCAUUACGCAGGCUUCUUGAUAAAGCACCAAGUAGGCGAAAAAGAAGGCUCGGCCUAAGCAAUUGGUUAUUGUAGGUGGUCCUGGUCCUAGCACACUCGUCUCAAUAAAUUAUUCAACAGAGAUUAUAAUUAGCCAUUUCUAUAGCAAAGAUGAUAGUGAUCUAACAAAUAUUGCGAUUUGCGAAGCAUGUAACGUGUAUCAAACGAUCAAUCUUACAGCCUUGGGCAUUCCUUUAAACAUAAUUAAAAUAAUAAUAGUAAAUCAAAAAGAAUCACCAGCAUCUAUAACCACCUUAAAAAGUGUUCGCACUUUCAAAUAUGAAUAUAUUUUGAAGCCAAUUCUCGACAAUAACCAUAUCAUAUCGACGCAAUUUACCCUCAUUUAAGAAAUUACGCCACUAGCUGCGGAAAUAUACGAAAGCUGAAAAAUUUGUCCGAAUACCAAAAGUUGGCGCUUAGGGUGGCUAGAGGUGGAUUUUGCUUACCAUCUACAUGCAAGGAAAACUCAUCAUCGUUUAACCUGCUGACUCCACCUUAAUCACCUGGGAAAAAUGAGAAGUUCUAACUCUUUUAUUAAUAGAGAGGAAAAAAAAAAAACAUUGCAUGAGGAGCUCGAUGAUAAUCAGACAAUUCUCUCAUGUGUUGCCCCGAUUCUACACCGACAAUGCCGGGCUGUCCGUAGCAAGUCCCAUAAUAUUCAACCCGUUGUCGACAUAAACAACAGAGCCAGUUAUCGCCGAAGCCAGAGGGGAAACCAAAAAUGCUGCCACAUUUCCGACUUCAUCUGUGCAAGUUUGUAAAAGGAUAAGUAUAUGUUUUAGUGACCGAAGGAGGGAAAGAGAAAUGAUGAAGAAGAAGUUCAAAUCUCUUGUUAUCCACCUGCCGAUAAUUCUUUCUGCAGUGGUGCAUUAGCAUAUGAAUAAUCUAUCAUCUUCUCAAUGAAUCCAAUGGCUUUCGCAGCACGGCUUCCCAAUGGACCUAAAAUAGUUUAUAAAUAAUAAAUGCAAAAAAGAAAUGGGAUACACACUUUUGUGGCAUUGGUAGAGCCUAAAAGGUGGAAGAGUGUAUGUGUAGGUGCAUAUGUAGUCCAUGUAGUAAAACAAAAUGGUGUGUAUGAAUGAAUCGGUAAUAAAAAGAAAUGGACGGUAAACUUUUGAACAGUUAAUUCUAUACUGCAAGACUAAUAGCAAAAUCAUCCCAACAUUUCGAAUGAAAGUAAUAACAACUACUACAGAGAAUUGAUGUCCAAGUUUAGGCUAAUCAUUUUAUGCCAUACUUACACUCGCUAGUAUCAAAUCUAAUCUAAAUGGUAUUCUAGAACUGAAGUUACAAUAUUAGAUACCAAUUCUGCUCAGUCAAUAAUAAUUGCAUGUGUCAUUUGGAUAUGAUAACUGAUGUUCGAUCAAGAUGUACGAGCUAAAUAGGGAAAAGAUUUACAUGAAAAUUUUCUUUAGUGGAGCUAUUAUUGAGUAUACCUGCAGAUAUGGUAUUUACUCUAAUUUUCCCUUUUCUUCCUGCUUCAAAAGCUAGCACCUGACCAAAAGAAAAGUUUAUCAAGCAAUUAUCAUCAUAAAUGAGACAAUGGUGUAAAGAGAAAAGCAUUGAAGAUUCAGAAGAUGCAAGAAUUUAGAGAAAAUACUCUGGUAUCACUUUCUAAGGCAGCUUUUGCCGAACUCAUGCCUCCCCCAUACCUGCGAUUUACAGAUUAUAACUUUACUACGUGAUAAGAUAAGAAUGUUAAAUUGGUGCUAGACUGCUUAUAGUUAUUAUGCCAGCAAAGAAAACAUACCCAGGUAUUGUCUUUUCAGAAGCAAUGUACGUCAAGGAGAUUGAAGCACCACCUGGCAAUGUAUGUGGUUGUGAAUUAAUGCUACCACUUGGUAGCAAGCAAGGGGAAAUAAGAUAUGACUACUAUGCUAUAAUCUAAUCAGAGAUAUAGCUUAUUGGAUAUCUGCACUAGUUACAGUGUAGUCUUCAUUCUAACUCGAAAAAGAAAACUAAAAGAUAGCUGAAAAUUGUAAAUACACGGUACCUGGAUUCAUUAUUGGAAGGAAGUGUUGGAGCAAUGAAACAAAGGAGUAACUAGAUGCAGAUAUAGCUGCAAGGUAUCCUCUCCUUGAUGUCUCUAGGAGUGGCUUAGUGACCUGCAGGUCAAAUCUAUAUGGUUAAAACUGACAUCCAGUCUUCAUUAAAUCACUGGUUUGCACAUGAAAGCUGUUUUGUAAAACAACCAUUAUAACCUGCUCUAGAUAAAGUGAAGGGCAAAGUGAUUAUAGAAUAGAAGGGGUAAAAUGGUCCUUUCACAGCUCGACAGAUGCUGCAGACGGAGGGAAAUCAUGUAAUUGGGAAGCAUAGAAAAGUUCAAGGACUAAAAUGUUCAAAUAAAAAGUUUAAGGAUGAAGUUGCAAUAUGGGUAAGUAUGGACUGUCCAUACAUCUUAUUGUAGAACAUAUCAUUAAGGAUGAAGUUGCAAUAUCGGUAAGUAUGGACUAUCCAUACAUCUUAUCAUAGAACAUAUCAUCACCUAAAUACCCCCACCCCAAGAAGGUGUAGAAACUUUACCUCCGGUCCAUUUGCUAAAGAAUGCACAAGGAUAUCAACACUUCCAAAAUCAUUCUUGAUUGACUCGACUACUUCCUAUAAAGACAAAGAAAACUCUUCACAGUUUAUGGGGUUGCCAAGUUAAACCUCACAUUUUAAUCAGUUUAGACUUCAAUAAGGAAGAAUAAUAUGAAGUAGAAUGCCUUAGUAAUUUGGCAAAUCUAGAAUGGUAGUAUAAUCAGAUGUCUCGAAAGUAUAGCGUGGACAUAGGUACAGCCACCUAGAACCUACCUUGACAGUCCAAUUUGAAGCACCCGAAUACCGUUUGUUUGUUCUAACCUGUAUGAAACAGGCCAAGCCAAUGAUCAGUAGUUUCUGUGUUAUUCAGAUAAAUAUAGUCUAGGCAGACAAAUAAAUUGACAUUUCAUACAUACAUCUUCAGGUACGUCCUCAAAGCUAUCAUAAACUGCAUCUAGCGGGUAUACUUUUAUAAUUUCCAUCAGAGAACCGUUAGCCAACCUGCACGUGAAAAUUACCACUUAACUAUUGACAACAGGCCAAAAGUUACUACCAAUUAAAAAACCAACAAAGAAGAGAACCAAAAAAAAACUUAAAAGAGUAUGGAAUUCGCACCGGCGUGACUCAUCAAAUUUACCCCGUCUUAGGCUUGUCUCAAAAAUAGUAAGAGCCUGCAGAAAGCACAGUUUUUGAAAGGUGAUAGUGUAAUUAAACCAAUCUUCUAUAUAACUGUAGGUAAGAUCUAAUGGAGCUUACGUACAGGAACCCAUGUACCAACAAGAAUCUCGGCGCCAGCAGCAGCAAGAGCUUUAGCUAUUGCCCAGCCAUAGCCAUUAUCAUCAGCUACACCAGCAAUAAAAGCCCUUUUACCUGAAAGGAGAAAAGAACCAUCCUGAAGGCUUUAUCUUUCUCUAUCCCAUAGAACACAGUAAAAAGAAAAUGUCUCGAUUCUUUAGUGAUGAUUUACUUUUCAAAAAUAUGCUAUACAGGCAGAAGUAGGUCACAAGCAUCAUAAGAAUGCUAAUAAGACAGAAAAAAACGAGAAUAAGAGAUAAUAGUAGGAUAAAGGGAUAGAUUAUAUGCACAAAUUGAAUAAGUAAAAGAAGCUACCGGACCGUACAAGAAACUAUAAUCUCUUCGUUCAAGCUUAACUUCGUAGUACUCAAUCUUCUCACAACAUGCACUAUUCAAGGAGCUAUUUUGGAAUGACACGUGUUAACAUGUAUUGAUGGAAUUUUGUGAAUAUAUAUUUAGUGGGCAAGGAGAAAAGGAAGUGUUUCAGCAAUGAGAGUAAAUGUUGCAAGGGCAUUAAAAUAGCCAGCUUGUCUAUGAAAAGAAAAAACCUAACAAUCGUAAUAUGCCAAUAAGAUGAAAUUCCGAAAAAAAGAAAAGGCACCUAUGUUCAUUCGUCAGGCUGAGACAUUUUCCAACACUGAGUUGAUUGAUAAGAUGACAAUAUAGUUUGCUAGGUUAUUUGACAAAAGAGCUUCAAAGCACACAUAAAACAGUAAUAUGAAAGGAACACAGGGUAGUAUCUAGAGAUUAUCAGAAACUACAAUUGGAUUGAAUUUUCAAGUAAUGUGCGCUAUAAGUAUAUAAAAUGAAUAAGGAUUAAAUAAAUUAAACUACAGUUUGAUGCCGGUACAUGGAAUAUCUAUUAAGUCAAACAUCAUUAAUAUCCAGGGUCCUGUGCCAAAUUCUAGUUAUAUCGAGAUUAGAAUAUGCCCACCACCAGUUUUGCAAAAAAGCGGCAAUACAAAUUGUUCUUGGAGCACAUUGCAAUUAAACAAAAUAGUAGACACAAUAAACUGAACUGUCAAUGUAUCUAGUCAAGCCUAACGUAUAAUGCAGCUAAAGAGAUACCUCGCAGAUCAAUGGGCAAUCCGGAAGGAAGUUCUUUUCCCCCUUCACUAGAAACAGCUCUUGGUGUGAUACUGCUGAACCUCCGAGGGACUGAUGUUGAACUCUUGCAAAGAGUUUUUAUAGAUGAAAUAUAACAGGGGCUUCCAAGUUUCACUUGGUUCGUGCCUUUUCCAUCAAUUGCAGCGCCCAGUAUGGACUUGGUAGAAGAAUGAGGAAGGCAUGGCUUUGUAGCUGCCAUUUGCAAGCUCCCAGCAGUGAAGAUUGCCAUGUCCAAUCAGCUGCUGCUUUCAAUAGUCCUUGUCUACAAAAAUCCGGACGGAAGAAUUACAUAUCAUAUUAUUUUCCCCUAAUUUCCACAUGAAGGUUCUGGAGCAGUCGGAAGAAUAUAUAUAUAUAUAGAGUAGGGCUACUAUACUCUUAUGAGUAGUGGACCCUUACUACUCAUAAGUUGUUUUCGAUGAUAGAGCUUCCGAAUCGACGAUCCACUCCGUUAAAUAUGAUCUAGAGUAUUUGAAACUUCUAGAAAAUAAAUUUCGUAAUUUUUCGAAAUCAUAAUAAAGUCCAUCAAGCGGGCAUAAAAUGAACGGUCAAAAUCGAACGACGUCCUAAAAAUGGAUGAUCGGAUCCCUCAAUUUAAGAUCGGAGUUAUUGAUCUUUAUCUAGGUAGUGUAUAGAAUUUUCUAUCAAAAAUUCAACCUAUUCCGAUUCUUUUCCACCGUUAAACUAGCAAGUAUCCCAUACCGGCCGUUAAAAAUUGUCAAUUUUGUGAGCUUUUGAUCAUAAGGUAAAUGAUGUCGAAAAAUUAUGAAAUUUAAUUUCUAGAAAUUUUAAAUGCUCUAGAUCAUAUUUAACGGAGUGGAUCGUCGAUUCGGAAGCUCCAUCAUCGAAAACAACUUAUGAGUAGUAAGGGUCCACUACUCAUAAGAGUAUAGUAGCCCUACUCUAUAUAUAUAUAUAUAUAGAGAGAGAGAGAGAGAGAGAGAGAGAGCUGAAAUAGGCAAACUGUGGAAACUUCUAAGGGGUGCCUGUGCAGAUAUUGAGACAAAUUAAUCGACUAUUGAAACUUUAGUUAAAAAACAAACAAGAAAAGCCAACAAUUUAUUCGAGAUCGAAGAUUACCCGCAAUAAGAACUAAGUAGUGAGAACAUGUAGGCUAAAUAUCCCAUUAAACAAGAAAUAUAUCCCCUUAAAUCUUUAUUUAAAAGCACGCAAAAUUAAAAUGUCUGCAAAUGAAUAAGUCCUCUAAUUCUUUCCUUUAGGCCAUCCAUUUACUUCUAUACCGGAUUUCUUAUCCAACUAUUCAUGUAUAGGGGAAGCACAUCGUACAGAAUCUGAAAUAGCAUAGAAUACAGAUCAAGAAGCACUCACAGCAUAACAGUCCCUUAAGAAAACCAAAUGAAGGCCCGAUUAAGCCGAUUCUAAACCGCGCAUUGCUCAAGAAAAAAAAAAAAAAAAAAAAAAAAACCCAAUAAAAUCGCUCAAGAACAAAGAAUCUCUUCAGAGAGAUGAUCAAACUCACCUGUAGAGGAAUAUGGAAUCUCACAAUGUCCAAUCGUCUCCUCCUCGCUAUUAACGACGCCGUUGUUUUGGAGAUCCUAGGAUCACAAGCAAAAUGAGAAUACGAGGGGAGAGACGACGAUGGAUUAAAACAAGAAGAGAAGACGUUUCGAUCGCAUCGAGGUGGUUUUUGAAAUUUACCACCUCUUCGGAGAGAUCGAGGGAGCUCUCGAGCCCCUGCGGAUUUUCUGGGGUUCGGGUUUCGGCGUUUUUUAAAAUAUACGUGGUGUUGUGUAGAAAGGGAGUAAGGGACUCUGAAGAGAGAGAGAGAGAGAGAGAGAGAGAAAGGUGGUUGGUAUUUAUUUAAUACUUUAUAAUUAUACGGAGGGUUUUGUUGAAAGGGCGAUUUAUUUUUGACCGUUGGAGGAUGGUUGGAGCAGUUGAUGAGCUACCGUGCGAGUACUCGACAAACUUGGCCCAAUGCAAUAUCUGCAAUGUGGGCAUUUCGUUGGGCCUAAGCUUUUUUCCUUAAAAGUCUUUUAUUAUGUUUGAUAGUUGAUUUGUUGCGCGAGCUCUUUAGUCCUUAAUUACCAUCAUAAGGGUUUACUUAAAUAAAUAAUGCAUUACUGUCCAUAAAACUCUUUAAUGAAAUUCGCGUUGAGGUCUUUUCCUCAAGAGAGAAGAGUUGACACUCAGAAGGAUAAGUACACCAUCCUUUUAAACUAUCAAGGUUCUACUAAGUUAAUAUCUAAACUUUCAAAAUAUCAAACAAAAUUAUUUUAAAAAUUCUAUUCAUUACCGACCGUCCCUAAAACAAAUGGCAAAGGGCUUAGUAGUCGGUAUCCGAGGUCCCAAAUUCAAGUCCUAAUUGAUUCAUAUUUCCAGCUAAGUUUAUUUCUAAAUAAAAUAAACGAAACGGAUAGCAUGCUAUGUAUCUCUCAAAAAAAAAAAAAAAAAAAAUUUCUAACCAUUUGAAAAUUUUGAACUGCCAUAUUUGAAAAUUCUGAACUGCCGUACGGGAUACAAUUGACCAUGUCCGCACGAUAUUUCUCGUACUGGCGGCACUAAUUCAAGAAAAAAAAAUCUAUCCAUUUGAAAAUCCUGAACUGCCAUGCGGGACACGAUAGUCCAUUUGAAAAUUCUGAAUUGCCAUGCGGGACAAGAUGGACCAUGUCCACACGAUAUUUCUCGUAGCAGCGGCACUAAUUCUUUUGAAACUAGUACUGAGAAAACAAACUUUCAACCUAGAUUAGGCGUAAGCAAAACUCGGAUUGGACUUAGGCUGGGUCAGGUUAGGAACCGCGUUAUCUUUGUAAUUGUCCGGCCUAGAAAGUAUAUGUAACGUUUGAACCCAAGUCUAGUCGCAGAAGAUCGGAUCGGACUGGAUUUAGCACUAAAUUUCCGGGCCAGGACCAGAAAGCCGAAGAAACCUAAACCGACGCCCGGCCUAUAUUCCGAGAACUAGUACUGGGCCAGUGAACUGGUUCUGGUCCAAUAAACUUUCGCAAUCUGAACGGUUGAGAAGCAGUCGUACGAAGUAAUUGGAGCACAUGCUGGACCAACCAACCAGCACAGGUUGCUUGACUUGGACAUGGGAAUAGAAAGUCAUGUCACUCGCACCCUGUGAGGCAGCUAGAGUUAUGUUAAUACACGCGACAACGUGUCCUCCGUUGAGCUUAUUAGGUCCCUUGUCUGGUUCGGGUACCUAUCAUCUUCGAAAUUUUAAGCAGAUGUAUUAAUAGCACGGUAAUCUAAUUGAUUGCUAGAUAUUAUAAAUGGACAAGUCAUCAAUCUCAUUCAAGGUGCCUUAUAUGAUACACUAGGCAUCACGUAUAAAAAAAGAAAAAAUGUCGCCAAAAUUUCUUUGCUUUUGAAAAGUCAGGCCUUCUUGUUGUACUUAUCUCGCAAGAUGAGCUCCCGUUGUUCUCACCUAUUUCCCUGCAACUUCAACGGAUUUAUAAGUUGAGUUAUGAUGCUUAUCGAAUGGCUAAAUUGCACUUUUGAUUCUCAAACUUUGAGAAUCAUGACACGUCGAUCUCCAAAGUUUAAUUUAUAUAUUAUAAUUUUUUAUUUAAAAUUUAUAAAUUAUAUAACAAUUAAUUCUUACAGCCUAACUUUCUUAGUUACAAAAUGGUGUAUCGCUAAUGUAAUUGAGAUGAUAGCAUUGUAAUUGAUAAUGUGAUGCCGCAUUAUUACUAUGUUAGCGAAAUAUUAGUAAUUAGUCAAUUGAAUUAGGCCGUAGCACUUAUAACUACAAUAAUUUAAUUUAAAAAGUUUGAACAAAAAUUUAUAAUAAAUUAAAAUUUUAAAACAAAAGUGUCGACACAUACUAGAAAGUGACCAAAAUUGCAAUUUAACCAUUUGGAAGAAUGUCAGGCAUCAAACUCAAAUAAUUGAGCAGUCAAAUCCAUUCAAACCGUACGUUAAACAUUACGGAAUACACUAUUAUUAUAUUUAGAGACAAUUUUUUAAGAGUUUUGAACGACUGCAAAAAAAAAAAAAAAUCAUUAUGAAAGAUACUAUUUUAUUUAAAAACUAUUUUUCAAAAGCAUGGGAAGGCCACAAAAAUUGGACGCUGACAAUUCCCCAGUCUAAAUUUAGCUCUGCUAAAGUACUUUCAUUUGAAAUGUUUUGCUAAAUUUCGAAUUAAACCACGCGCUGAACGAGCCAUUUUUUUGUGACGUAAUGAAGUCAACACGCUGAGCGUCAUAAUACAAGUACUAUAAAAUUUUGGUCUGUGAAUUAUGUGAGAAUAAUGUGAAUCUAUCUAAAGUAUGGGAAGAUUUUUUUUUUUUGUUGCGAAUUAAAAACUACAAGUAAAAUUUAUUAUCUUUUGAUUAAACAUUAAAAAAAAUCCUGAUUUAAAAGCAUAUGAAAGUGAAAUGUUGCGUAUGAAGCUAAUUAAUACAGUUUGUUUUGGAGUGGUGGAGAUGUAGUAUUGUAUUAAGAGUGCAGUUGUUUGACUGAUUCAUUAGAAAAUUCUCUUUAUAGAACAUGUAAACCGAACCGCCACCAAUCGUUAUCACAUUUGAAGACUAAGGGGCUGUUUGGUUGCACGCAUUUUCAACUACAGUGCAGUUGCAAAUGCCUGCAGCCUCAAUUUCUUUGUUUGGUUUAGUAUUGUUGAGUUCAACUGCUGCAGUUCCAACUACACAAAAAGGUUCAAAUGCUGUAGUUGGAACUACAUCUAAAUUGGCCGUAGUUCCAACUGCAGUAGUUGGUGAGGGAUAGGAUCACCCACAAAUUAAUAAUAAUAAAUAAAUAAAUAAAUAGCUAAAUAAAUAAAUAAUAUAUGUAUAUAGGUAAAUAAAAAUACUUGUAAAUAAACUCAUACUAAUAAAAUUUUUUAGACAAUACAAGCUUUGUGCAAAAAAUUAAAUUUUUUAAAUUUAUUUUAUUUAAAAUAUAAAUAUAAUAUUUUUUUAAAAUUUUUAUAGAAUGUGAUCGUGUAUGUUAAUUUAAUAAGUUUUAAUUAAUUAUAAUUAUUAAAUUUGAUAAAAAAAAAUGAGAGAAUCGUUUAAAUUUUAAAGUUUGAUUUACAUAUUAAAAUUAAAUAAAUUAAAAAUUUUAAAUGUGUCGAUUAAUAAGUUGAAGAAUAUUAUAUAUAUCUACUCAUUUAUUUAUAAAUAGUAAAUUUAAAUGAUUAAUAAAUUUAUGCAAUUAUUUUAUGUUUAGUGAAGAUAAUCUCACCACUCUAUCUGAAAAGGUGACAAAAUUUACAAAUAUAACUAUCAGCUUCAUAUUACCAAACAGAAGAAAUGUAAUUGCAGCAGUUGCAACUGCGUAAAACCAAACAGACUAGGUGUAGUUACAACUGCAGCAUUUGUAACUGCAUGUAUUUCCAACUACAUUGUUUCUGUAACUACAUCCAACCAAACAGCCCCUAAUUGCUAAUACUUCUCCCAUAAGAAAAUAUUUAUUCAUUUUAAAUCUCCAACUUGUUGCAUUGCGAGAAACCUAACACAUGCCCAGCAUGUCCUGUUCCGGCGUCAUGCACUGCACAUGAUGCUCAAAUUACGCACCACAAUUGCACACGAUCUCACCGACGUUACUUUUCUCUCUAUAAUUCGAUUUUUUUUUUUUUCUGACUAAAAUGUAUACAAUUUAGGAAAAGUUUCAAAUACCAAUCUUAUUGUUUUACACUUUUUUAUUUUAAUAUUUUAUAAUUUAAAGUGUAUUAUUUUUAUAUAUUAUAGUUUUAUUUUUCUCUUUUUUGUUAUCCAUCUAUUAAUUUUUUUAUUAAAUCAGUGACAAAUUUAAAACUAAAGAAUACUUAAAGUGUAUAUUCGAUAAAUUAUAGAUGAGAUAUCUGAAAUUUUUUAUAUAUGAUUUAGCGAAAACGUAAGGGAGGGACUGACGAAAAAGAGAAAAAAAAAUCACAAAGUACUAAAUUAGUACACUUUAAACCAUAGGGUACUAAAAUGAAAAAAGUACUAAAUUGCAAAUGGUAGUAUUUGAAGUUUAUCCUAAAAUUAAUCUGAAUUAUAAAUUAUUUUUAAUUCGACUAGGCAAUAUUUUAAAAUUUUAAAUUAAAUGUUUAUUUUUUUAUUUAUUUAAUUAAAGAUGCUUUGGAUAUAAAAAUUAAGUUAAUUGUUUAUUUUAAUAAAUUUAUAGCUAUAUAAAUAGCAUAAAAUAUAUUAGUUAAACAAGUAAAGAUAAAUAAUCUAUUUAAUUUCCAAGUAAAAAAUUUACUAAAUGACAUGAAUCAAAUAAUUUUUUUAAAAAUAGUGAAUAAAAAUAAAAUAUUUAAAAAUCCGACAGUUUGAUCAAUAAUAGUCGAUACAAAAUUUAUACGUUUUUAUUUGUUAUAUUUUUCAAUGAAUAUCCGAAUAUUUAGAAGGAACUUUUCAUUGUAUUCACCUAAAUGUGCGCAAGAUUACAAAAAUACAGAGGACACGGAGGGGGCGUCACGGACGGAGCACCGGAGACCCCAGGUUUAUAGGACCAUUUUGCCCUCACGCUAGAUGGGCAAAAUGAUGGGCAGAAUGGUAAUUUCACUAUAUGGGGGAGUGAAGCUCUCGUGGCUCCACGAAUCGGGCGCGAAGUACAAUCUCCCGCCGGGUGGAGACUACGGCGAGCCACUUGCCAACCAUGACGGGCGGGUUCGCGCCGUAAAUUCCGCAAACCAUGAGGGGCAGAAAAGUCAUUUCAACGUUGGAUGCAACGGAUGCAAUUUUGCCUUAGGACAUCCCAGCCGUUGAAAUCCCCGUCAGCGGGCGGUGGAGAUUUCGUGGGUAUUGGGCUUUCUCUCCGCAUGAGCGAUCCCCGCAUCGCCUCCCUUACCGGAUCAUCAGAAAGAGCCAGUAAAAGCAUGACACGUGUUCACCUCGGCGAUUGCGGAGGAGCAGGUGACAAGUUUGACGCGGUGGUGGGGGCCACGACUGCUAUUGGCCCCUCGAACGAGAGGGAGGGGGGCGGAGACCUUAAAUAGGGCCCCAAAGGGAGGGGAGUCCCCCCUCCCUCUCUCUCUCUCUCUCUCUCUCUGUCUCUCACCAGGCGGCGUUAGGGCGAUAACAAACCAGAGGAGAGGAGAGGAGAGGAGAGGAGAGAGAGAGAGAGAGAGAGAGAGAGAGAGAGAGGAAGAGCAAGAGAUAAGAGAGAAUACAUUACUCUCCCUCGCUCUCGAUCUCUCUUUGAAGCGUCGAUCGAGCCGUAUUUCUCUCAGGUAUGGGGAGAUUCCUAUUUCUGCUUAUUUCGCUAGAUUAAAGCUAUAAUUUGUGCUCAUUAAUGAGCUAUUAAUCUCCACCUGUUUAGCAAAUAUUGCGGCUGAUUUUGUGGAGUUUUCUCUUGUUUCACAAUCUAUUUCGUUGUUCCCGUCUCUUUGUUGAUGAAUCCGGUUAGAUCUUACUGUUUCUCUCUCUAUUAUUAGCCUUUUUUGGGGAUCUCGUUCUCUGAUUAGCAUUUGAAGUUAUAAUGCAGACUUGUAUUUUAGUAUUUAUUUUUAAUUUGAAGUGUGGGGCUUGUAUUUUAGCGUUUAUGUCCAAUUUGACGGAUCUGGGCUGUUUCGUUGCCACCAUCUCCUUUUAAUCCAUAAAUCGGUCUGCGCAUGCUUGCGUUAGUUAUCAACCGAUAUCUCCUUUUCCUCUUACGUUCCCAUUCCUGAUCUGAUUUUUUUUUAAUAUAUGUAAAUAAUAUUUUUUGAAAUAAUUUAAUAACGUGAAUUUAUUCCAUUCCGUUCAAAAUUAAUACGUUGCUUUGUCCAGGCCAAAAAAAGUACGUCGCCGAUCUAAUCGGGGACGAAAAUGAACAAGCAUCUAACGGUUGGGAGCCCUCCACGCUCCCAGAUAUUUUGGACAGGGGGUUCAAAUACAAUAUUAAUUAUUUUUUUUAUGGCCCUUUACCAACUCUUUCCGGGACGAAUCUUUUGGGUUUUUUUUCCUAGAAAAAAAAAGAAAAAAGAAACCCAUCGUGGGUGACGUGAUGGACAUAGAACCAGAAAAAAAAGAAAAAGAAAAAAUAGGAGCGUGAAAUUAUCAGCACUUUUUUUAUAAUUUUUCUCUUCGGAAUAUUUAUUCCAACUUGCCAAUGGCGCCGGCUCUAGUAACUUGUAAUAAUUUAUGGAAUUUAUUCUCAGAAGAACAUGUUGCUUGCUUGGUCCUGCACUAAUCGGAAUUAAUUCUUAUUUUCUUUUCGUAUCCGUUCCGUUCCGUUCCGUUUCCCACAAGGAGUUGUUUCCGUCAACACGGGAAAAAGCUGCGCCGUUCCUUGGAAAGCGCAUGCUUUUUCCCUUUUGCUUUUUUCUCCUUUUUAUAUAGGUUUUGAGUGGCCGACUAGUAUGACCAAGAGCGCUGGUUUCUGGCCGUCCGAUCUUCCUACCAAUCAGAGUGAGGACUAACGAUUGACCGUUCGUUCCGUCCAAAUCGUUUCGUUUUUGGACGGUCCAGAUGCUCUAGUGCUUCAUUUUGUGCGUAUUACUGCAUACGCUGCGUACGCGCCCACUAGUGUGGCGAACUUGUGGUGAACCAGAUGCAUCUGUGCGUACCGGCAUCAUUUUUCCAUACACACAUCCGCAAUUCUAUUCUAAUUUUAUCUUCUGUGAGCAGGAUGGCCAUCACAUCUCGCCUUACAUGUCCUCUUUUUUUUUUUUUUGUCUUUUGGGUUCCAAAUUUGAUGGGUAAAUUAAAAGUGUUAGAAUUUGAUUAAAUUUGUAGAUUAAUUCUAGUGGAUAAGAAUUAAUAUUUAAAUUUAUUGGAGAUAAAUAAAAAUUUAAAUAUUAAGUAGAGUAUGAAUCUUUUUCAAUUAGAAUAAAUAUUUAAAUAUAUUGGAGAUAAAUGAAAUAUAAAUUUAAAUAUUUACUGGAGUAGGAAUUCUAAAUAUAUUAGGAUUAGGGUAUGUUUUGAUGGAGCUUUAUAAAUAGCUCUUGAUGGGAUGCUUUGGGAGAUAGAGUACGGUUAAAAAGUUAAAGCUCUUUGAUGGUUUGUACCAGAAAGAGAGAAUUGGCCGGUUGCAUGUAUCAAAUACACCGGUGCAUGUGAGAAAGAAAGAAAGUUAUCUUUUAGAUUUAUAAAAGAUAAGAGAAGAAUAUAAGAUAUUUAAAAAUAGAGUUCGAGUUGUAGAUACUCUGUUGCAGAAGAGGAGUAUAUAAUUUUGUUUUAUUUAAUAAAUUUUAUUUUAUUUGCAUAUUUUCUGUUUUACUUUUUCUUUCUUUUAUGAUUAUAUCAAUUUUUGCUGAGGAAACGUUUUUAUAGUAAAAACUCGAUUCGACAUUUUCGUUGUGAAAUUCCAACAAUUGCUACCGGAUCCAUAGCAAUCGGUAUUUAAGCGGAUUGUGAAUUCACAAAAUAUGAUACCGGAGCGAAUUCACAAAAUAUAGAGUUAGAGUGGUGCAGGCAUUAAUUUCUGUAGAAAUAGUUUAAUUGGUAAUUACGUGAUUGACAAAUAUUGUGCUUUUUUUGGGGGGUGGGAAGCUCUUUCUUUUUUUUCGGUUGUUUUAAUUGGAUAGUCAUAUAUAGGGAUAUACUGUUUUAGCAUACAAUCUGAUCUCAUUGGAUAAUAGCUCACCCGGUGUUUGGAGUCUCUUUAGACCCACCCAUAAGUAGAUCGCGUAACCUCCGUAGUCUGCUUUCUCCAUUUGAUUGGACAAUAAAAAAUGGCAAAUGCCUGAGGUGCCACGGUCGCGAACUCACGGAACAGCCUGUCACCAAUAUAAUAGUGGACCUUGUAUUAUGUUUUAUUCACUAUAUAUAAAAUAGAGAAACGAAAAGGCUUUCCAUGUAGGGACUGUUCGUGCUAUUGGGGGGCCAUGUGAUCUCCUUUUCUGAUUUUCUCCCGCCAGCUAAAACUAGUAGCUAAAAAAUGAAUCUCUCACGUGUGUUGUGAAAAAAAGUCUAAAUAUUAUUGAUGUGAUAUUUUUAAUUAAUUAAUUAAUUAAUUUUUUUAAAUUUAUUCAUUACAUUAUAAUUAAUAAAAAAAAUAUUUUUAUAAAAUGUUUUUUAUCAUAUUUUAAAAAAAAAAUAAUGCGUUGCCGUGUUAUAAUGUCGACUCGGUGUUGUCGAGUCCCGUUGUCAGCCCAAACCGAAAUAUUUUGCCCGUGUUAUUUUAUUCCGAAUUACUGAUCACUGAGCACCACCAGCUGGAAUACUGAUGUAUUUAUUAUUGUAAUGUCAGUUACUAGCCUAUUACGUGCUUCCCGGUGGACGUAUCUAUUCAAACUUUCAUCUCGUGGUUCCCGCUCGCUCUACAAUUUUUUUUUGGUUAUUCACCAAAUAAAUCGUACUAUUAUAGUAAGUUAGAAAAAGCCUCAUCGCUUUGCCUAAAUCCUUUUAUUUGUAUGAAUAGAAAAAAAAAGAGCGACGAUCAAUUUGAAAGUUGGUUCAUAACUGCUGCUGCUGCUGCUGCUGCUGCUGCUUGUGCAGGCGAAAUGGGUGCGGGCGGGCGUAUGACGGCGAAGGAGCGGGCGGAGCAGCGGCGGGACGCGGCGCGUGGCCCGGGCAGCGGUGGCGCAGGGGACGCGGCGGCGCUCCGGCGGUCCCCGACGGAGAAGCCGCCCUUCACGCUGGGGCAGAUAAAGAAGGCGAUCCCGGCGCACUGCUUCCAGCGGUCCGUCCUGCGGUCCUUCUCCUACGUGGUCCACGACCUGGUCCUCUCCGCCGCCCUCCUGUACGCCGCCCUCGCCUGGAUCCCCGCCCUCCCGAGCCCGCUCCUCCGGUACGCCGCGUGGGGCCUGUACUGGGUGGCGCAGGGCUGCGUCCUCACGGGCGUGUGGGUCGUCGCUCACGAGUGCGGCCACCACGCGUUCUCCGACUACUCGCUCCUCGACGACGCCGUCGGCCUCGUCCUCCACUCCGCCCUCCUCGUGCCCUACUUCUCCUGGAAGUACAGCCACCGCCGCCACCACUCCAACACGGGCUCCGUGGAGCGCGACGAGGUGUUCGUCCCCAAGACCAAGCCCUCCCUCCGCUGGUACUCCCGCUACCUCAGCGACAACCCGCUCGGCCGCGUCGCCUGCCUCCUCGUCCAGCUCACCCUCGGCUGGCCCCUCUACCUCGCCUUCAACGUCUCCGGCCGCCCCUACCCGCGCUUCGCCUGCCACUACGACCCCUACGGCCCCAUCUACUCCGACCGCGAGCGCGCCCAGAUCUUCGUCUCCGACGCCGGCGUCCUCGCCGCCUGCUUCGCGCUCUACCGCCUCGCCGCCGCCCUCGGCUUUUGGUGGGUGGUCCGCGUCUACGGCGUCCCCCUCCUCAUCGUCAACGCCUGGCUCGUCCUCAUCACCUACCUCCAGCACACCCACCCGGCGCUGCCCCACUACGACUCCUCCGAGUGGGACUGGCUCCGCGGCGCGCUCGCCACCAUGGACCGCGACUACGGGCUGCUGAACCGGGUGUUCCACCACAUCACCGACACCCACGUCGCCCACCACCUCUUCUCCACCAUGCCCCACUACCACGCCCUGGAGGCCACCAGGGCCAUCAAGCCCAUCCUCGGCGACUACUACCAGUUCGACGCCACCCCCGUGCUCCAGGCCAUGUGGCGCGAGGCGCGGGAGUGCGUCUACGUCGAGCCCGAGGACGGCGCCAACCGCAAGGGCGUGCUCUGGUACAACAACAAGUUCUAAGUUCUAAGUUCUAAGUUCUAAAUUCUAAAUCCCCCACCCCACCCCACCCCACCCCUUAUUUAGUCCCUCCAUCCGCCGCCGUCACAUCAUCCUAAUUCAAAACCCCAAGAAGAACGAAAAGAAAGACAAACACUGCUAUUAGGCUCCAGCCGCGGUCGAUGGUGAGAAACCCGUUGCCCACUUGUCCUGCUUUCUCUCUCUCUCUCUCUCUCUCUCUCUCUCUUUUCCUCUUUUUUUCUCCCCCCCUUAGAAAUAGAUAGGGAAGGGGCUGCGGCCGCUGCCUUUUGCUUUUUGCUUUUUUGUUCACCUUUUAACUCUUGGUGCUAGUGGCGGUCCGGGUGGGGGCCGGUCCCGCUCUUAUUGAUUACUUGUCGUUGGCGUUGGUCCUCUGGCUCGCCUCCCGUCGUCGAUCCUCCCCUGUUGUUUCUGUUUAGCUAAGCUAUAUGAUUGAUGUAUGCGAGUAAUAAGAAAAUUGAAAAAAUUUAUGAAAAGAAAAUGGAAAAGAUGCAUGGAACGAGUUUGACGAUCACAUCAUCUUUUAAUUUUGGAUGGGCUCUUAUUCUGUAGCUUCGGUAUAAUCAGAGGAGCUCCUAUUCUGUAGCUUCGGUACAUCAGAGGAGCAUACUGUUAUCUUGUCAACAAAGUGAUCGAUUUUUGAUCGCUAGGUGCUCUCGUCGGAUUGGCGAAACUCUUAUCUUAUCAACAGGUCCAAAUCAUUUGCCCAUGUGUAGGUUUCUUCGCCAGUUAUUCUGAUACUUGUCUAAUAUUUGACAAUAUUAUGUAACAAGCCACUCGAUUUUCUCCAAAGAAGCACGUACGGCGCAAAACAAUGGUACAGCACAAACCGAAGCGAAAGAGCUGUCGCAUCAAGUCCAAAUUUGGCUUCCCUCCGUCACAAAUGGUUUAUGAGCUGUUCCUGUCCUUCUCGAUCAUAAAAGUGGGCAGAAGAAAUGUACGCAUGUGACGGGAGGUUCGCGUAUAGGAUCCAGCAAGGGAGGGACAAUUCACAAUUGUAGUGUAGUCGAUUUGAUGGACGAAGUUUUACGAAUUAAGCACGGAUCGUAUGUUCCUAUUGUUGCCUUGAAUUUUCCUUCAUUGUAUGCUCCUAGUAACAGUUUAAUGAUUUGUCUCUUUAUUUCACUACCUACCUAAGCUGAAACUAGCAAGAAUUUACAUGGACAAAGCUCUCAUUAUACAUACAAGUCAUAGUUCGUUUUUAUAAUGUAUUUUCUUUUUUUUUCUGUGAGAGAGAUAGAUAGUAUGUUAUCUGAUUUGUUUAUUUCAUUUAGAAAUAAAUUUAACUAAAAAUAUGAAUUAACUAAGAUUCGAACUCGGGACUUCGAAUAUCAAUCAUCAAGUUUUUUGCCCUCUGUACUAAAGAUGAUUAAUUUUUAUAUUAUAAUUAUUGAAAUAAGUGAAACUAAUAUACCUAAAAUUUUCUAUAGUGGAAUACAGUUGGCUAUAAUAGAAAAAGAACUUUUUGGGGGAAGCUUUUUGAACAGGAGAGACGGGCUAACUGGCAUUCAAUAAUCUCAUCAUUUCAUUCACCAGGAACAGUAAAAGUGGGACGAUUGUCUUUUUUUUUUUUUUUUUUUNCUUAUUUACUAUUUCGUAUUUAAGAAUUGGUUUUUUUUUUUUUUUUUUUUUUUUUUUUUUUUUUUUCAGAGAGAGAGAGAGAGAGAAUGUACUUUCGUUGAAGCCAGUAGGCUUCAAACGGAAAACCUCGAGUACCAAAUCAUUAAUUUUUUUAUCAUUUGUGCUAAAAAAUGGUUAGUGAAGACAAGAAGAAUGUUGAUGUAUUGUUCAUUACAUGUAAGGCCUUGAAAUUGCACCAACAAGCCAAUUAAUAUGCUCUAGACAAAGGAUAUUAGUAAAAUCAAUAAUAGUCUGUAAGAGAAGCAUUCUAUAACAGAAGCGGCACUUAUUUUCACUAGAGGUUACCCCAUAGAAUACUUAGCGCUGUGGUUUUGAAAUUCAUGUGGUAUAUUUGCUGGUCAUUAAAUCUAUUAUGUUGCCUUUAGAUGAAACGAGCAAUCGCCAUUUAGAAUCGACCACAUAUUCAUUUUAAAGAGUGUCAAACCUGUCAAUGGAUUGCAAUAACUGAAAAGUCACACUACACUCUGACAGAAUCUUAAAGUAUCGUUUGGUUUGGGGAUAAGCAAAAAAUGAAUAUUCCAGUAAUAGAUAUAAUUGAGGUAUAAGCGGGGAUUAAAUCAAUUUUACGUUUGGAUGAAAAUUGGGUUAUUUUUGGGAAUAAAAAAAAUAACGUUUGAUUAGAUAAGAUGGAAUAAGAAGGAUAGUGGUUUUUAUAAAUAAAAAAAUAAUGAUAUUACUCUCUUAUUAUAUUUGAAUUUAAAUUUUUAAAAUUUAAAAUUUAAAAUUUUAA